UAAGAUUGGAGGCGAUGGCAUCGAUCGUUACAACUUAUCAUGGUUAUGAGAUCUGUUUCUAGACGCGAGGUAGAAUUUUGGUGUGCCCCUGAAGUUGGGUAGUAGAGGUGGGUGUUGGUAGCUUUUGGCCCGGGGCUAUCUGUAGUGUUCAACGUUAUUCUGCACCUUUUGUUUACUAGUAAAUUGUAUGUGCUUUGCACGUCACUUAAAUAUAUAAAAGCAUGGGAAAAUACAUUUGAAUAUGUAUUUCCUUUCCUAGAAUCAUAUUAGACAAGAUCCAACUUGUUGGUUAUUAGUCCCAGUUUUGUAAGAUUCUCCCAGAACCUGACCCCUUCCUAGCUUCGCUCAGAAUCUUUGAGCCGCAUUUGUUUUAUUAUCCUAUUUAGUUAGGGUCUAAUUAGCUAGGAUUCUAAAACAAAUGGUGUCAAAGAUUCUGAAAGAAGUUAAUGAGGGGUCAGACUCCGGGAGAAUCUUUCAAAAGACCUGGGUCUUAUCUCUCUAGAAUAGAUUGUUCUAGUCUCUUUUUAUUGGAGUAUCAGAUAAGCAUGUCGAAAGGUACUUUUAAAAAACAUGAGAUGGUAGAAUUGGGGGUUCAGUUAUUCUUCUAUAACAAAAACAACACAUCCACACACACAGGCUUCAUAACCAACACAUCCACACACACAGGCUUCAUAACCAGUGUGGCGUGUCGCCAUGUCUAAGAGUAUCUCUAAAAGACCCCGUAUACGGCCCUUAUUGCGGAUAAGGGCCGAGAAAUCGGAGAUUUAUGGGUCGCGCGUUGCUGUGCGGCCAAACAGAGUCCGUAUUUGAAACCGAUUUUCUUUAAAAGUAUUCCGAUAAGAAGUGGAGAACACAACUACAUUCAUGGGUUGAUCAUCGCUAUAUAGAAAGUUAUUUUACAUAGUGCAUUCGCACCGGGUGCGGCCCUACUACAUUCGCAAAAUCGGAGCUCACUGCCAUCCCUCCUCCGCUCACUCGUCGUUGUCGGAGGAGACAAGAUCGAUGUACUUCUUGUCUUGCUCCUCCUGCUCGCGGCGCAAUUGAGCCGAGGUCGCUGAGCUCCUCGCCCCCCAGGCGACGUGCCUCCUCUCCUCUUGUUCGCGCGCAGAGCGCUCGGCGAGCACCGCUUCGAAGGCGUCCGUGUUCGGCCCGGCGAGGUAGUCCUUCAGGCUGGUGACGUCGCAGCUGCGCGGGGGCUCCUCCCUUCCUUCGAUCUUGAUGGCGCGGAGUGGAGUGAGCUCGCCGUGCUCCCUCUUCACUGGCACGGAGUAGAGGUGGUGUUGGUGCCUUCUGGCCUGGGGCUAUCUGUAGUGUUCAACGUUAUUCUGCACCUUUUGUUUACUACUAGCUCCGUCCGAAAACACUUGUCAUCAAAAUGAAUGUAUGUAGAACUAAAAUACAUCUAGAUACAUCCCCUUUUAUUCAUUUUGAUGACAAGUAUUUCCGGACGGAGGGAAUAGUAAAUUGUAUGUGCUUUGCACGUCACUUAAAUAUAUAAAAGCAUGGGAAAAUAUAUUUGAAUAUGUAUUUCCUUUCCUAGAAUCAUAUUAGACAAGAUCCAACUUGGUUCUUAGUUGGGAGAAUCUGACCCCUUCCUAGCUUUCUGGAAGAAUCUUGCAAAAGACCUGGGUCUUACCUCUCUAGAAUCUAGAUUGUUCUAUUUUUUUUAUUAGAGUAUCAGAUAAGCAUGUGGAAAGAUACUUCUAAAAAACAUGAGAUGGUAGAGUUGGGGGUGUUGGGGGUUUAGUUAUUCUUCUAUAACAAAAACAACACAUCCAUAGGUUUAGUUAUUCUUCGAGGUAAAUACACUAAGAAUCUUAGGACUUGCGUGUGGCGGUCAGUUUAGUGCACAAACUUGUAAAAUACGUGUUUCUGGUCCACGGACUUGCAUGAAGGUGCAAAUACGGUCACAUUUUAUGUACGCGGACGUAUCUACUGCCUACUUGGUAGUCCAGCAUGGUAAAGGCCCGCUGUCAGCCACGGUAAUAGUUCUUGCAUGAUAGAUUUGUAGAAAAGCACACACCUUUUUGUUCAUACACUGGGCCACUCAAAUAAAAUAAAUAAAACAUUGGCAGAGGUGGAUUUCGAACCCAAUACCAGCCGCUGAAAGUACCCCGUGUAUUAUCCCUCAAAAAAAAGUAUCCUGUGUACAGCCACCAUUUUAUCAACAGGGACUGAAAAAUUAAAGAAGAAAUCAAACCCGAAAAACAGGAUCCCGACAAUUCGAACCUGUGAAAUCGUGGCCGUCCAUGACUAAGCAAACCAUCAGGCUACAAUUGCACAUAAUGUUAUAAAUAUAUAAACACUGUUUAUGUUCUUAUGUCUUUUGUUCAAUGUAAGAAAUACAAAAAAACAUAGAUUCUCGUGUUGUGACCAUCCAAAAAUGUCCAUGCGUUACAAAAAAAAGGUACGAGAAAUCUUAGAUAAUAUUUAAACAUUGUAAGAUAUAUAUUUGUGUAACUAAAAAAACAUACGCUGCAUUUAAAAAUGUUCAUGCAUUUCAAAAAAUAUUUAUGACAUUUAAAAAUAUUAAUAAAAUGUAAAAAACUGUUCACAUAGUUUAAAAAUAUUUUGUAUCAUCCAAAAAUGUUUAACAUAUAUUUGAAAUAGGUUCAAAAUCUUGUAUUUGAAUAAAUAUUAUCAUAUGUUUAGAAAACAAGUAUAUAAAUCUCUUUAGAUGUAUACCUGAAACAGAUAAUGUGUAUGAAAAAUAUCGACAUCAAAACAUAUAUUUUUUUAAAAAUGUUAAUAAUCUAUUUGGAUAGUGUAUAAAAAUGUUUAUGUUGUAUACAAAAAAUGUAAAAUAUGUGUGUAAAAGUAUAUAUCAAAACAUAUAUUUGAAAAAAAAAUUAAUUAUGUAUUUGAAAAAUGCUUAACAUAUAUAAAGAGUAAUGUUUAGUAUGGUACCAUGCAUGUUUUUUGCACCAUGCAUGUAGCUAGUUAUGCAUAUAUGGCUAUAUAGUGCUCUCUCCGUACCAUAUUAUAAGACGUGGACAAAGGGAGUAGUACGUACGAGCCUGUAUAUAUUUACAAUAUUUGAAUAUUAUCCAACUCAAAACAAUGUUUAAAUAUUAUUUAAAAUGCCAUGUACCUUUAUUUGUAAUGCAUGAACGUUUUUGGUAGGUCACAAACACUAGAAUAUAUGUUUUUUUUGUGAAUAUAUAUAAGUUGUAUUUCUUACAUAGAACAAAAGAGAGAACAAGAUAUAAAAAGUUUAGCUCUUUGGAACAUUCUUCUUUUGAAUAGCGGCCAGUACUCCACGAGGUCACAGGUUCGAAUUGUAAUUCUUUAAUUUUUUCAGUCCGUGUUGAUAGAAUAUAAGUUGUAGUGGUGCUAGUAGAACAUGAAAUGUUAUCUGUCUGGUGGCUGUCCACGCCAUUUUAUUAGCUGCAGGUCAUGUGUUCGAAACCCAUCAUCUUUUCUCUUUGGUUUUUUACUUUAUUUGCAGGGCCCAAUACGUGAAUAAAAUAAUUCAUUUUUUUUUUUGCAAAUCUACCAUAUGAGAACUGUUACCGUGGCUGACAAUGGGCCCCAGCGAUGCUGGCGUGCCAUGCAGCUUAUAGAUACGUCCGUGUAUAUAAAAUGUGACCGUAUUUGCACGUCCAUGCAAGUUAGCGGAUCAGAAGCAUGUAUUUUACAAGUUUAUGCACCAAACUGGCCGCUAUGCGCAAGUUCUAAGACUUCUAGUGUAUUUACCUCUUAUUCUUCUAUAACAAAAACAACACAUCCACACACAGGCUUCAUAACCAGUACGGCGUGUCGCCACGCCUCUGCGUGCUCUUACAAAGUAAGAGCAUCUCUAACAGACCCCGUAUACCAGCGGCCCUUAUCGCGGAUAAGGGUCGAGAAAUCGAAGAUUUACAGGUCGCGCAUGGCUGCGGCCGAACAGAGUCAGUAUUUGAAACCGAAAAUUUUGAAAAAAAUAUUCCGAUAAGAAGUGGAGAACACAACCACAUUCAUGGAUUGAUCAUCGCUAUGUAGGAAGUUAUUUUAUAUAGUGCAUUCGCAACUGGGUACGGCCCUACCACAUUCGCAAAAUCGAAGCUCACCGCCAUUCCUCCUCCGCUCACUCGUCGUUGUCCGAGGAGACACAAUCGACGUACUUCUUGUCUUGCUCCUCCUGCUCGUGGCGCAAUUGAGCCGAGGUCGUUGAGCUCCUCGUCCCCCCCGGCGACGUGCGUUCUCCUCCUCCUGUUCGUGCGCAGAGCGCUCGGUGAGCGCCGCUUCGAAGGCGUCCGUGUUUGGCCUGGCGAGGUAUUCCUUCGGGCCGGUGACGUCGCGGCUGCGCGGGGGCUCCUCCCCUCCCUCGAUCUUGAUGACACGGAGCGGAGCGAGCUCGCCGUGCUCCCUCUUCACUGGCAGCAGCGGCGCACCGACGAGCUCCCCGCGUUGAAGAGGCGCGCAUGGCGGCGAUCGUACUCCCCCGUCCCGCGACGGAGGAGAGACGAUGGCACCGGGAGCCGGCAGUUCGUGCAUCGCUUUGCCAAGCGCUUGCGCGCCGCAUCGGCGAUGACGCAACGCUUGCGCUUCAGGUCUUCACCGCCACCGUGACAACUAGAGCUCGACAUCGGCGCAGAUGGGUGGGGGGUAGUGGUUUUAGCUCGCCGACGGCGAGAAAUUGGAGAGGGGAUUGAGGAUUCAUGGCGGCGGAGGGAUAGGGUUUCGGCCCGUAUCCUCGCGGCAAACACGUAGAUAUAUCGCAUGGGGAGGGGGCGAUUUGCGGGCCACCGUAAAAUAAUUUACGGGCCAAGCGACUGUGUGGGCUCUGGUCUGACCGGAAAAACGGGUCGGGCCGUACACUCGCACGGAGAGAUGCUCUAAAGAGUGGCAUAUAAUCAAUGUACUACCAAGGGUUGAUUAUUGCCCAAGCAGAACCGAGUGAUUGGCGCACACAGAGUGACAGAGAGGGGAGAGAGCACGGGUGGGGUGGAGACCGGAGCGGCGAGGGUUUCGGUGCCAGCGUCGCUGCCCUGGGUGGAGAAACCCCACCCCUCGCGCCCUCCGCCCGCCUCGGGGAGUCCGGCAGGGCUCCGGAUCUGCUCGGCCGCCGCCGCCGGCAUCGGGCCCUUCGCUUCGGCGGGAAGUUCUCCGCCGCAUUGCCCCCGUCUCCCACGCCUGUUUCCCCCCUCGAUUCCCCCGGCUUUCCGGUGGGUUGAUGCUUUGUUCCGCUCGAUCUCGGCGUAGAUGUACGUACUUUGGUAGUCUGUUUGGUGAUUUGUAGUCCACUCCUAGUAUAAUUUUUGCAUGCUGCAUGGAUUUUCCCUUGGAAUUGGCCCGGUGAUGAUUAGGCUGAAACCCCCAAUGCGGGGAUAGAUCGGCUCAGAUCUGAGCACGAAAAGCGAUCAGAAAUGGCUAAUGCGGCGCUGGCUUCUCUGUUCUGGGCGCUGAGGCCUGUGUCUGGGUCAGCCGUAUCUUCUGCUGAAGCUCUGCCACUGACCUAGGGCCGGCCCUUGUUGAGGUCUGCCUCUCCGUCCUUCUCCUACUCCUUGCCGUCGUCGCCGCCGUACUUUUGCCAUGGCCACGCCACGCCUCGCCACUUCUUUCGGUUCACCAGGCACGCCCCAGUGCCGGCUUUGGAGCCAGCCGCAUUAGCCCGCGAUGAAAACUGAAAUCUGAGGGCCAUGUUGUGAUGCAGAAUUCUCGGUAUAUUUUCGUCCGGAUCGAACUCUCUUGCAAUGCCACACACACUGUAAACCAGACAGCUUCUGCACAUUGUGUUAUAUUGUCGUAUGCAAUGCAAUGGUGGAAUGGAAUGCCAUCUUACAGUGUGUGGAGCACUCCUAGGCUAGUGAUUUGGUAGGAUAAUUAAUCGAUUGCACUGAAUCACCCGCGCUAAUCUCCUAUGGCUAUUUUCCUCUUUGUUUCCUCCGGCUUUCUGGUGGUAUGAUGCUUUGUUCUAAUCGAUCUCAGCUUAGAUUUACUUUCGUGGUUUGCUUUGUGCAUUUGUAGUUUAUACUAUGUUUUUGCUUUCUACAUGGAUUUUUCCUUUCUCUUGGCCUGAUGAUGAUUAGGAUGAAAGGCCCAUGUGGGAAUGGAUAGAUAGAUCAAUUGAUCGGCUCAGGUUUGAGCUUGAAAUGGGACCAGCCGUUGCAUUCGCAAGGUUGAAGCCCCUGAAAUGGCUAAUACAGCGCUGGCCUUCUCUGUUCUAGGCGCUGAGGCAUGUGUGCUUGGGUUAGCAGCUGCUUUUGCUCAAGCUCCGCCACUGACUGAUGGGAUGGUUCCCUUCUUCUCCACCACCACCACCACCACCAUUGCCUGGUCUUCUCCAUCGGUCCACCCAGACACAUCACAGUGCCAGCUUUGAAGCCCGCUGCAUUAGCCUUUGAUGAACCUGAAAUCUGAGGGCCAUGUUGUUAUGCGAAUUCUCGGUAUUUUCAUUUGAAUCGAACUGUUUUGUGUGGACUCACUGUAAAACAGCCAGCUUGCACAUGGUGUUAUACUAUUGUGUAGUGGGCAAUGGUGGAACGGGAACUCACAAUGUGUAAAGCAGUGCUUUGGGCCAUGCAUGUGCGCCUGCCUGUCUUUGCUGAGAUCCAGGCUAGUGUUUUGGUAAGAUAAUUAACUGGUCGUACUGAAUCAGCCACACCCAUCCCUCGUGUGCUACACAUGAUGGCCUAGGAUCACACUGACAGAUGUUACCAGUCCAUCUGAGGUUCAUUUUUUAUACAUCUAUAUUCUUGUUUUUGUUUCUUUUACCUUAUUCUGUGUCACCUGUCAUUUCAAGAACUGUUCAUUUGCCAUUCUUGAAUGCAGGUUGGCUGUUUUGUACUAGGAAAUAUGACAUGCUUUUGCUACAGAAAUAGUGAUUAGAACACUUUUGAUUUGUUUUCUGUUUUUCUUUCAGUUACUUCUCUUACCAGUUUAACCUCAUAUUACAUUACAUCUUCCAUUUAAUAAGAAACCAACUGUGAACUUUUGGCUUUGCACCAAAAUUUCGGUUUUGAGUUUUUGACUAUAUCAUGAUGGUAUUUUUUGAGGAUGGUGGUUAGAAGCAUGUAUUGCCUAAUGAUGAAAACUAAUGUCAAGAGAUGGAACAUGACAUGAUCCCUCCCCCUUCUCUCUCUCUCAUGUGUGUGUGCGCGCGCACGUACUUUGGCAGCGGAUCUACCUUUCUUCAUGCCCUUACAGGUGAAUUGAAUUUCAUCUCUUGUGCCAUCAAUGAAUGCUACAUAUUUGAACAUGUGAAGGCACAGGGCUUCAUUUUCAUAUCACAAAUUAUUGGCGAAGUUAUGUUUGACAUAUUUAUUUGGUUUCAUCUUCCAGAUCUGUAUAUAUUUGUUUGAUGCGAACCCUUCAUUUGCACUGUUAUUUCUUAUGCUUAGAUUAUGUUAAUUUCUACUGUGACAGAAUCGUGAUGUUUCAUUUUGUUCUUGAUGGUGGAUAGAAUCAUAUAAGUGUUCUCUUCUAUACAUCACCCGAUGAUGAAAAUUGAAAAUGUAGAGAUGGCACUUGGGCAUGAUCCUCUCCUCCCUGUCCUCCUCCUCCUCCUCCUCUCUCUCUCUCUCUCUCUCUCUCUCUCUCUCUCUCUGCGUGAUGCGUAAUGGCACAUGCGGCAGCAACAGCAGCAGCAGUUCAAUCUUUCACAUGCCUUAUGGACAAAAGGGAGAUCAUUUCUUGUGCCAUCAAUGAAUGCUACAUCUAUGGCACCUGAGGGCAUGACGUUUCUUUACCUUAUUCUGAAAACCGGCAAAAUUUGCAUGGAUAUAUUUAUUUUCAAUUUCAUUUUCCUUCAAUAGCAUUGUUGUCUCUUACGUUCAGAUUUUGCAUCAUUUUCGCUUUUGCUUCAUCAUUUUUGUGCAUUUGUUGUGGUUCCAUCUGAUUAUGAUUAAGUUUGCUCUGUGAUUUCUUCAUUACUUCUGUAGUACCUUCUUAGCUUUUUGUUUUGCUAUUCACCUCAGUGGAGGAAAAUCUUUGGUGUUUCAUGAUUUAUCACGACUGAUCACUGUUGUAAAUCAGUUUGCAUUUGAGUUCCGAUAACAGAAGUGGUAGCCCCUUACCAGGGAGAAGGUUUUGAAUUGGCCAAAGCAUUGUUGGUUUCUGUCUGUAAUGUUUAUUAGUGGUUUUAAGUUAGUAUUUUGGUUAUGAUUUGUGCUUCAAAAUUGCCCAUCUCCUACGUCUAUUUCCCCCUUCGAUUCCUUCGGCUCUCCGAUGGUUUGAUGCUUUGUUCCGGUCGAUCUCGGUGUAGAUGUACUUUGGUUGUAGUCUGUUUGGUGAUUUGUAGUGUACUAGUAGUACUAUAUUUUCCGCAUGCUGCAUGGAUUUUCCCUUGGAUUGGCCCGAUGAUGAUUUACUGAAACCCCCAAUGCGGGGAUGUGGAUGGAUGGAUGGAUAGAUAGACCGGCUCAGAUCUGAGCUCGAAAGGGAUCAGCCGUUGCGUUGCAAGGUUGAAUUAAGCCCCUGAAAUGGCUAAUGCGGCGCUGGCUUCUCUGUUCUUGGCGCUGAGGCCUGUGUCUGGGUCAGCCGUUGCUUCCGCUGAAGCUCUGCCACUGACCUAGGGCCGGCCCUUGUUGAGGUCUACAUCUCCGUCCUUCUCCUCGUCGUCGUCGCCGUCGCACUUUUGCCAUGGCCUUGCCUCGCCUCGCCACUUCUUUCGGUUCACCCAGACACACCCCAGUGCCGGCUUUGGAGCCCGCCGCAUUAGCCUACGACGAAACUGAAAUCUGAGGGCCAUGUUGUCAUACAGAAUUCUCGGUAUUUUCGUCUAAGUCGAACUCUUCUGCAUGGUCACACUGCAAAACACGCAGCUUUUGCACAUUGUAUUACAUUGUAGUGUAGUAUGCAAUACAAUGGUGGAAUGGGAUGCCAUCUUACAAUGUGUGGAGCACUCCUAGGCUAGUGAUUUGGUAGGAUAAUUAACUGAUUGCACUGAAUCACCUGCGCUAAUCUCCUAUGGCUAUUUUCCUGUCUGUUUCCUUCGGCUUUCUUGUGGUUUGAUGCUUUGUUCUGAUCGAUCUUGGCUUAGAUUUACUUUCGUGGUUUGUUUUGUGCGUUUGUAGUGUAUACUAUUCGCUUGUUGCAUGCAUUUUCCUUUCUCUUGGCCUGAUGAUGAUUAGGGUGAAAGGCCCAUGUUGGGAUGGAUGGAUAGAUUGAUUGAUCGCCUCAGGUUUGAUCUUGGAACGGGAUCAGCCGCUGCAUUCGCAAGGUUGAAGCCCCUGAAAUGGCUAAUACAGCGCCGGCCUUCUCUGUUCUAGGCGCUGAGGCAUGUGCUUGGGUUAGCCAUUGCUUUUGCUCAAGCUCCGCCACUGACUGAUGGGCUGGUUCCCUUCUUCCUUCUCUUCCUACCAGCUCACUGUCGGCGUCCUUGUCUUCACCACCACCACCAUUGCCUGGUCUUCUCUAUGGUCCACCCAGACACGUCACAGUGCCAGCUUUGAAGCCCUCUACAUUAGCCUUUGAACCUGAAAUCUGAGGGCCAUGUUGUAAUACGAAUUCUCGGGAUUUUCUUUCGAAUCGAACUGUUUUGUGUGGACUCACUGUAAAACAGCCAGCUUGCACAUGGUGUUAGACUGUUGUGAAGUGGGCAAUGGUGGAACGCGUACUCACAAUGUGUAAAGCAGUGCUUUUGGCCAUGCAUGUGCACCUGCCUGUCUUUGCCGAGAUCUAGGCUAGUAUUUUGGUAAGAUAAUUAACUGGUCGCACUGAAUCAGCCACACCCAUCCCUCGCGUGCUAGAUAUGAUGGCGUAGGAUCACACUGACAGAUGUUACCAGUCCAUCUGAGGUUCGUUUUUUAUACAUCUAUAUUCUUGUUUUCGUUUCUUUUACCUUAUUCCGUGUCACCUGUCAUUUCAAGAACUGUUCAUUUGCCAUUCUUGAAUGCAGGUUGGCUGUUUUGUAGGAAAUAUAACAUGCUUUUGCUACAGAAAUAGUGAUUAAAACACUUUUGAUUUGUUUUCUGUUUUUCUUUUAGUUACUUUUCUUACCAGUUUAACCUCAUAUUACAUCUUCCAUUUAAUAAGAUCCCAACUCUGAACUUUUGGCUUUGCACCAAAAUUUCUGUUUUGAGUUUUUGACUAUAUCAUGAUGGCGUUUUUUUUGGGAUGGUGUUUAGAAGCAUGUAUUGCGUAAUGAUGAAAACUAAUGUCAAGAGAUGGGACAUGCCAUGAUCCCUCCUCGCUUCUCUCUCUCAUGUGUGCGUGUGGGCGCACACACACACACACACACACACACACACACACACAUUGACAGCGGAUAUACCUUUCUUCAUGCGCUUACGGGUGAAUUGAAGAUCAUCUCUUGUGCCAUCAAUGAAUGCUACAUAUUUGAACAUGUGAAGGCACGGGCUUCAUUUUUCAUACCACAAAUAAUUGGCGAAGUUUUGUUUGACAUAUUUAGCUGGUUUCAUCUUCCAGAUCUGUAUAUAUUUGUUUGAUGCGAACCCUUCAUUUGCACUGCUGUUUCUUAUGCUUAGAUUAUGUUAAUUUCUAUUGUGACAGAAUGUGAUGUUUCAUUUUGUUCUUGAUGGUGGAUAGAAUCAUAUAAGUGUUCUCUUCUAUACAUCGCCCGAUGAUGAAAAUUGAAAAUGUAGAGAUUUCGACAUGAUUCUCUCCUCCCUGUCCUUCCUCCUCCUCCUCCCCCCCCCUCUCUCUCUCUCUCUCUCUCUCUCUCUGCGUGAUGCGUAAUGGCACAUGCAGCAGCAGCAGCAGCAGUUCACACCAGAUCAAUCUUUCACAUGCCUUAUGGACAAAAGGGAGAUCAUUUCUUGUGCCAUCAAUGAAUGGUACAUCUAUGGCACCUGAGGGCAUGACAUUUCUUUACCUUACACUAAUAACCGGCAAAUUUUGCAUGGAUAUAUUUAUUUUCAAUUUCAUCUUCCUUCAAUAGCAUUGCUGUCUCUUACGUUCAGAUUUGCAUCAUUUUCGCUUUGCUUCAUCAUUUUUGUGCAUUUGUUGUGGUUCCAUCUGAUUAUGAUCAAGUUUGCUCUGUGAUUUCUUCAUUACUUUUCUAGUACCUUCUUAGCUUGUUGUUUUGCUUUUCACCUCAGUGGAGGAAAAUCUUUGGUGUUUCAUGAUUUAUCACGACUGAUCACUGUUGUAAAUCAGCUUGCAUUUGAGUUCCGAUCUCGAAGUGGUAGCCCUUUACCAGGGUUAAGGUUUUGAAAUGGCCAAAUCAUUUGGUGGUUUCUGUCUGUAAUGUUUAUUAGUGGUUUUAAGUUAGUGUUUUGGUUAUGAUUUGUGCUUCAAAAUUGCCCCGUCUCCUACGUCUAUUUCCCCCUUCGAUUCCUUCGGCUCUCCAGCGGUUUGAUGCUUUGUUCUGGUCGAUCUCGGUGUAGAUGUACUUUGGUCGUAGUCUGUUUGGUGAUUUGUAGUCUACUAGUAGUACUAUAUUUUCUGCAUGCUGCAUGGAUUUUCCCUUGGAUUGGCCCGAUGAUGAUUAGGCUGAAACCCCCAAUGUGGGGAUGUGGAUGGAUGGAUAGAUAGAUUUAUCGGCUCAGAUCUGAGCUCGAAAAGCGAUCAGCCGUUGCGUUGCAAGGUUGAAUGAAGCCCCCUGAAAUGGCUAAUGCGGCGCUGGCUUCUCUGUUCUGGGUGCUAAGGCCCGUGUCUGGGUCAGCCGUUGCUUCCGCUGAAGCUCUGCCACUGACCUAGGGCUGGGCCUUGUUGAUGUCUGCCUCUCCGUCCUUGUCCUACUCCUCGCCGUCGCGCCGCACUUUUGCCAUGGCCACGCCACGCCUCGCCACUUCUUUCGGUCACCCAGACACGCCCCAGUGCCGGCUUUGGAGCCCGCGGCAUUAGCCUGCGAUGAAACUGAAAUCUGAGGGACAUGUUGUGAUGCAGAAUUCUUGGUAUUUUUGUCCGAAUCGAACUCUCUUGCAAUGUCACACACACUGUAAAACAGACAGCUUCUGCACAUUGUGUUAUAUUGUCGUAUGCAAUGCAAUGGUGGAAUGGAAUGCCAUCUUACAGUGUGUGGAGCACUCCUUGGCUAGUGAUUUGGUAGGAUAAUUGAUCGAUUGCACUGAAUCACCCGCGGUAAUCUCCUGUGGCUAUUUCCCUCUUUGUUUCCUUCGGCUUUCUGGUGGUUUGAUGCUUUGUUCUGAUCGGUCUCGGCUUAGACUUACUUUCAUGGUUUGCUUUGUGCAUUUGUAGUGUAUACUAUGUUUUCGCUUGCUACAUGGAUUUUUCCUUUCUCUUGGCCUGGUGAUGAUUAGGGUGAAAGGCCCAUGUGGGGAUGGAUAGAUAGAUCGAUUGAUCGGCUCAGGUUUGAGCUUGAAAUGGGAUCGGCCGCUGCAUUCGCAAGGUUGAAGCCCCUGAAAUGGCUAACACAGCACUGGCCUUCUCUGUUCUAGGCGCUGAGGCAUGUGUGCUUGGGUUAGCCGUUGCUUUUGCUCAAGCUCCGCCACUGACUGAUGGGAUGGUUCCCUUCCUUCUCUUUCUACCAGCUCAUGUGUCACCACAUGGUGACACAGCUGUCGCUGCCGUCUCGUCGUUGUCACCACCACCACCACCAGCACCAUUGCCUGGUCUUCUCCAUCGGUCCACCCAGAUACAUCACAGUGCCAGCUUUGAAGCCCGCUGCAUUAGCCUUUGAUGAACCUGAAAUCUGAGGGCCAUGUUGUCAUACGAAUUUUCGGGAUUUUCAUUUGAAUCGAACUCUUUUGUGUGGACUCACUGUAAAACAGCUUGCACAUGGUGUUAUACUGUUGUGUAGUGCGCAAUGGUGGAAUGCGAACUCACAGUGUGUGAAGCACUGCUUUGGGCCAUGCAUGUGCGCCUGCCUGUCUUUGCUGAGAUCUAGGCUAGUGUUUUGGAUAAUUAACUGGUCGCACUGAAUCAGCCACAUUCAUCCCUUGUGUGUUAGAUAUGAUGGCGUAGAAUCACACUGACAGAUCUUACCAGUCCAUCUGAGAUUCAUUUUUUGUACAUCUAUAUUCUUGUUUUCGUUUCUUUUACCUUAUUCUGUGUCAUGUGUCAUUUCAAGAACUGUUCAUUUGCCAUUCUUGAAUCCAGUUGGCUCUUUUGUAGGAAAUAUGACAUGCUUUUGCUACAGAAAUAGUGAUUAAAACACUUCUGAUUUGUUUUCUGUUUUUCUUUCAGUUACUUUUCUUACCAGUUUAUCUUCGUAUUACAUCUUCCAUUUAAUAAGAUCCUAAUUGUGAACUUUGGGCUUUGCACCAAAAUUUCUGUUUUGAGUUUUUGACUAUAUCAUGAUGGUAUUUUUUGGGGAUGGUGGUUAGAAGCAUGUGUCUCGGCGUAGAUGUACUUUGGUAGUCUGUCUCAUGAUUUGUAGUAUAUUUUCGCAUGCUGCAUGGAUUUUCCCUUGUAUUGGCCCGAUGACGAUUAGGCUGAAUUGAAACCCCCAAUGAGGGGAUGUGGAUGGAUGGAUGGAUCGAUAGAUCGGCUCAGAUCUGAACUCGAAAAGCGAUCAGAAAUGGCUAAUGCGGCACUGGCUUCUCUCUUCUGGGCGCUGAGGCCUGUGUCUGGGUCAGCCGUUGCUUCCGCUGAAGCUCUGCCACUGACCUAGGGCCGGCCCUUGUUGAGGUCUACCUCUCCGUCCUUCUCUUCAUCGUCGUUGCCGUCGCCGCACUUUUGCCAUGGCCUUGCCUCGCCUCUUCUUUUGGUUCACCCAGACACACCCCGGUGCCAGCUUUGGAGCCAGCCGCAUUAGCCUACGAUGAAACUGCAAUCUGAGGGCCAUGUUGUGAUGCCGAUUUCUCGGUAUUUUCGUCUGAAUCGAACUCUUUUGCAAGGUCACACACUGUAAAACAGACAGCCUCUGCACAUUGUGUUAUAUUGUAGUGUGGUAUGCAAUGCAGUGGUGGAAUGGAAUGCCACCUUACAAUGUGUGGAGCACUCCUAGGCUAGUGAUUUGGUAGGAUAAUUAAUCGAUUGCACUGAAUCACCCGCGGCAUAGCCGGUCCCAAGCCCGGGUAAAGGAGGAGGGUUGUGAUAGGCUUGGCGAGCCAACGUAAAAACUAGCCAGUCCCAUAGGUAUGAAACCCAUUUGAGCGAGAAUAGUACUAGGAUGGGUGACCUCCUAGGAAGUCCUCGUGAAAGGGUUUCAUAUCUAAGGGUUGUGAUAGGCUUGGCGAGCCAACGUAAAAACUAGCCAGUCUUUUGGGUAUGAAACCCAUUUGGGCGAGAGUAGUACUAGGAUGGGUGACCUCCUGGGAAGUCCUCGUGAAAGGGUUUCAUAUCUAGCCUACCCCAACUUGUUUGGGAUAAAAGGCUUCGUAAGUAAGUAAGUAAGUACUGAAUCACCCGCGCUAAUCUCCUAUGGCUAUUUUCCUCUUUGUUUCCUCCGGCUUUCUGGUGGUUUGAUGCUUUGUUCUAAUUGAUCUCGGCUUAGAUUUACUUUCGUGGUUUGUUUUGUGCAUUCGUAGUGUAUCCUAUGUUUUGCUUGUUGCAUGGAUUUUUCCUUUCUCUUGGCCUGAUGAUGAUUAGGGUGAAAGGCCCAUGUGGGGAUGGAUAGAUAGAUCGAUUGAUCGGCUCAGGUUUGAGCUUGAAAUGGGAUCAGCCGUUGCAUUCGCAAGGUUGAAGCCCCUGAAAUGGCUAAUACAGUGCUGGCCUUCUCUGUUCUAGGCGUUGACUGAUGAUGGGUUAGCCGUUGCUUUUGCUCAAGCUCCGCCACUGACUGAUGGGAUGGUUCCCUUCUUUCUCUUUAUACCAGCUCACGUCACAGUGCCAGCUUUGAAGCCCGCCACUGUCGCGGUGCCAGCUUUGAAGCCUUUGAAGCCCGUUGCAUUAGCCUUUAUGAACGUGAAAUCUGAGGGCCAUGUUGUAAUACGAAUUCUAGGGAUUUUUAUUUGAAUCAAACUCUUUUGUGUGGACUCACUGUAAAACAGUCAGCUUGCACAUGGUGUUAUACUGUUGUGCAGUGUGCAAUGGUGGAACGCGAACUCACAGUGUGUGAAGCACUGCUUUGGGCCAUGCAUGUGCGCCUGCCUGUCUUUGCUGAUAUCUAGGCUGGUGUUUUGGUAAGAUAAUUAACUGGUCGCACUGAAUCAGCCACACCCAUCCCUUGUGUGUUACUCCCUCCAUUCCUAAAUAUAAGCCUUUCUAGAGAUUCCAAUGCGGACUACAUACGAAGCAAAAUGAGUGAAUCUACAGUCUAAAAUAUGUCUAUAUACAUCCGAAUGUAGUUCUUAUUGAAAUCUCUAAAAAGGCUUAUAUUUAGGAACGGAGGGAGUAGAUAUGAUGGUGUAGGAUCACACUGACAGAUGUUACCAGUCCAUCUGAGGUUCAUUUUUUGUACAUCUAUAUUCUUGCUUUAGUAUCUUUUACCUUAUUCUGUGUCAAGUGUCAUUUCAAGAACUGUUCAUUUGCCAUUCUUGAAUCCAGUUGGCUCUUUUGUAGGAAAUACGACAUGCUUUUGCUACCGAAACACUCCCUCCGUCCCAUAAUGUAAGAACAUUUUUCAAGCUAACAUAGCUUGAAAAACGUUCUUAUAGUAGUGAUUAAAACACUUAUGAUUUGUUUUCUGUUUUUCUUCCAGUUACUUUUGUUACCAGUUUAACUUAUUACAUCUUCCAUUUAAUAAGAUCCUAACUGUGAACUUUUGGCUUUGCACCAAAAUUUCUGUUUUGGUUUUUGACUAUAUCAUGAUGGUAUUUUUGGGGGAUGGUGGUUAGAAGCAUGUAUUGCCUAAUGAUGGAAACUAAUGUCAAGAGAUGGCACAUGACAUGAACUAACUCUCUCUCUCUCUCUCUCUCUCUCUCUCUCAUGAUCUCUGUUUGAUAUAUUUAUUUGGUUUCAUGUUCCAGAUCUGUAUACAUUUGCUUGAUGCGAACCCUUCAUUUGCACUGCUAUCUCGUAUGCUUAGAUUUUGCAUUAUUGCCAUUUGGCUUCCUGAACCUUUUGAAUUUGCGUCAGAUCAUGGACAGGUUUGUUCUGUUAAUUUGUUUAUUAUGUUUCUAGUAUCUUCUUGUUUCUUGCUUUGUUUUGCUUUGGCUAUUUGAUCUUAACCCUUCAUUUGCACUUAAUUUCUAUUGUGACAGAAUCAUGAUGUUCCAUUUUGAAAAUGUAGAGAUGGCACUUGGACAUGAUCUCUCUCUCCCUCUCUCUCUCUCUCUCUCUCUCUCUCUCUCUGCGUGAUGCGUGAUGGCACAUGCAACAGCAACAGCAGCAGCAGUUCACACCAGAUCAAUCUUUCACAUGCCUUAUGGACAAAAGGGAGAUCAUUUCUUGUGCCAUCAAUGGAUGCUACAUCUAGGCACCUGAGGGCAUGACAUUUCUUUACCUUACACUAAUAACCGGCAAAAUUUGCAUGGAUAUAUUUAUUUUCAAUUUCAUCUUCCUUCAAUAACAUUUCUGUCUCUUACGUUCAGAUUUUGCAUCAUUUUCGCUUUGCUUCAUCAUUUUUGUGCAUUUGUUGUGGUUCCAUCUGAUUAUGAUUAAGUUUGCUCUGUGAUUUCUUCAUUACUUUUGCAGUACCUUCUUAGCUUGUUGUUUUGCUCUUCACCUCAGCGGAGGAAAAUCUUUGGUGUUUCAUGAUUUAUCACGACUGAUCACCGUUGUAAAUCAGCUUGCAUUUGAGUUCCGAUCUUGAAGUGGUAGCCCUUUACCAGGGUGAAGGUUUUGAAAUGGCCAAAGCAUUGUUUGUAAUGUUCAUUGUCCUUUAUCACGACUGAUCACUGUCUGUAAUGUUCAUUAGUGGUUUUAAGUUAGUAUUUUGUUUAUGAUUUGUGCUUCAAAAUUGUCCAUGAAGUUCUGAUACUGGUUCUAUACACCAAUUAGUAAUGCCUUCUACAAUGUAUUGCCCAAUGAUGAAAACUACUCCCUCCGUCCCAUAAUGCAAGACGUUUUGUGACACUACACUAGUGUGAAAAAACGUCUUACAUUACGGGACGGAGGGAGUAAUAUGUAGAGAUGGCACAUUACAUGGGCACGCGCGUGCAUGUGUCUGUGUGUGCUGACAGCAGAUAUAACUUGAACAACUGAAGGCACAGGCUUCAUUUUUGUCAUCUUACACAAAUUACCGGUAAACCUUUGUUUGAUAUAUUUAUUUUCAGUUUCAUCUUCCAGAUCUGUAUAUAUUGGCUUGAUAAAAAUCCUUAAUUUGCAUUCCUUUCUCUUAUGUUUAGAAGAUUUUACAUUAUUGCCAUUUGGCUUCAGUUUCGUGAAUUUGCUUGUUUCAUCUGGUCAUGGUCAGGCUUGUUCUGUUAAUUUGUUUGUUAUGUUUCUAGUAUCUAUUUUGUUGUUGUUUGCCUUCGCUUUGGCUAUUUGAUCUGAUCGAUCUUAGUAUAGUUUUGUUUUCUUGGUUUAUUUUGUAGUGCAGUUCUACUGCUAUAUAUUUUGCUUGCUACUUAGAUUUGCCCUUGGCCCAAUGAUGAUUACAAUGGAGCCCUCAUGCAUGCAUGGAUGGAUCGGCUUAGAUUUGAGCUCCAAACAGGGCCAGCUGUUGCCUUCGCAAAGUUGAAGCCCCUGAAAAUGGCUAAUGCAGCACCGUCUUCUCUGUUCUGGGCGCUGAGGCAUGUGUCUUGGAUCAACCGUUGCUUCUGCCGAAGCUUUGGCACUGACGCCUGGCAAAAGGUGUUCUUCUUCUGCUUCUGCUGCUUCUUCUUCUUCUUCACUCGAUUGUUGUUGUCUCUGGCAACUCAUGUGCUAUACCGGUGAACCAAGGCACGCCCAAGUGCCAGCUUUGAAGCCUGCUGCAUUAGCCUGUGAUGAAACUGAAAUCUGAGGGCCAUAUUGUAAUACAACCUUGUUGGUAUUUUCAAUGGAAUCGAACUCUUUUGCAUGUGCUCACUGCCUAACAGCCAGUGUGCACGCUUUGCUUCUCUUAUUUCAUUAUCUUGGUAUAUACUCCCUCCGUUCCUAAAUAUAAGUCUUUCUAGAGAUUAUACUAUGGACUACAUACAAAUCAAAAUGAGUGAAUCUACACUCUUAAAUGUGUCUAUAUACGUCCGUAUGUAGUUUGUAGUGAAAUCUCUAAAAAGACUUAUAUUUAGGAACGGAGGGAGUAUUAGCUAAGGUUUAGGCUAGUGUUUUGAAUAAAGUUAUGUGCUUCAUGGUGCUGAAGUGUGUAUGUGGAUUGCUAGCUCUUUCCAUCAGUUCGGACUUUUCGUUGCAUUAGCUAGUGCUGAAUCAUUGUUCCACAAUCAAUGGAACAAAAUCACUCACAUCCCCCUGCCAUGUCGUCAGAUAUGAUGGCAGAGGAUCACAGUCUGACAGAUGAUACUAUUUCAUCUGAGGAUAAUUUUUCAUACAUUCAUAUUAUUUAUUUCUUUGUGCGAUCAGUAUUGUUGUGUCACGUGUCAUAUGUAUCAUAAACAUUCCAUUUGCCAUUCUCAGAUGCAGGUUGGUUCUUCUAUAGUAAAGCAACAUACGCAACAUCCGCAUUUAGUCAUCAAAUGUCUUGUCUAUGUUUGUUGAUUUUCUUUCUGCUUUGUUACCACUUUGUGUUUUUUUCGUAUGUCUCUUUGCGAAACCUCAUAUUACACCUUGACCCAAUUAAUAUCCCAAUUGUGGGCAUGUGGCUUGCACUUAAUUUCUAUUGUGACAGAAUCGUGAUGUUUCAUUUUGUUCUUGAUGGUGGAUAGUAUCAUGCAACUGUUGGCUUCUAUAAUGCAUCGCCCAAUGAUGAAAAAUGAAAAUGUAGAGAAUGGCACUUGGACUUGAUCCUGNNNNNNNNNNNNNNNNNNNNNNNNNNNNNNNNNNNNNNNNNNNNNNNNNNNNNNNNNNNNNNNNNNNNNNNNNNNNNNNNNNNNNNNNNNNNNNNNNNNNNNNNNNNNNNNNNNNNNNNNNNNNNNNNNNNNNNNNNNNNNNNNNNNNNNNNNNNNNNNNNNNNNNNNNNNNNNNNNNNNNNNNNNNNNNNNNNNNNNNNNNNNNNNNNNNNNNNNNNNNNNNNNNNNNNNNNNNNNNNNNNNNNNNNNNNNNNNNNNNNNNNNNNNNNNNNNNNNNNNNNNNNNNNNNNNNNNNNNNNNNNNNNNNNNNNNNNNGUUCACAUGCCUUAUGAACAAAAGGGAGAUCAUAUCUUGUGCCAUCAAUGAAUUGCUACAUCCAUGGCACCUGAGGGCAUGAUGUUUCUUUUUCAUAUGUUACACUAAUUACUGGCCAAAUUUGCAUGCAUAUAUUUAUUUUCAGUUGCAUCUUCCAGAUCCGUCUCUGUUGGCUUGAUGGGGACCCUUCAGUAGCAUUGCUGUCUCUUAUGUUCAGAUUUUGCAUCAUUUUUUGGUUUGAUUAACCAAUUUUGCGCAUUUGCUGUGGUUUCAUCUGAUUAUGAUUAAGUUUGCUCUGUUGAUUUUUCAUUACUUUUGUAGUAUGUUCUUAGCUUGUUGCUUUGCUUUUCACCUCAGCAGGGGAAAUUCUUUGGUGUUUCAUGAUUUAUCACAAGCGAUCACUGUUGUAAAUCAGCUUGCAUUUGAGUUCCAAUCUCAAAGUGGUAGCCCUUUACCAGGGUGAAGGUUUUGAAGUGGCCAAAGCAUUGUUGGUUUCUUUCUGUAUUGCUUGUUAGUGGUUUUAAAUUAGUAUAUUGGUUAUGAUUUGUGCUUCAGAACUCUCCAUGAAGUCCUGAUACUGGUUCUAUACACCAAGAUUGGUCUUUUGGAUGGUGGUUCGAAGUAUAGAAAUGCCUUCUAUAGUGUAUUGCCCCAUGAUUGAAAACUAAUAUGUAGAGAUGGUGCAUGACAUGGUUUCUCCCUCUCUCUUGCUGUAAUAAAUUGGAUAAAAUUUAUUUUAAGGUGGCUAAUCUAAAUAUAGGAGGAUAUGGUUGCAAACCUUGGGAUGUUUUCCAGUUUUUUGUUUGGAAAUAAUUGAUCUGCUGUUAAUUUGAAGAUGACAAGGAGAUAAGGAGGAAAAUUAAAAGGCUUCUUUGGUGGAUGGGUAGGAGAACUCCGGAUCUGCCAAGGAAGCAGGUGAGGGAGGAGACGUCUUGUGCUGUAAGGGUGUCUCGCAGACUGAUUUUCUUGAUUUGAUGUAUUGUCAUUGCAUAUAUCAUUAUCUCAAAGUCUGGUUAGUGUUUGAUUUUGCACAGAUUUGUUUGGGAUCUGCUUUGAAGCAAGCAUCGUUCCUUGCGCUCACAGGUAAAUUUGCAUUCCUGUCUGUUAAUAGUUGGUUCAGAACAUUUGGAGCACAGUGACAAAUUUCAGUUUUAAGGAUUUAUGAUACCCCAUUUCCACUGGUUUUCCCCCAAUAUGUCAAUGUGUGAUGUGUCUAAACCCCAUUAUUUCCCUUUGUUAUAGUCAUUAUUCAGCAUGGAGCAGAACCGCUGCACACUUAUCAAUGUAUCAAUCAUAUAAAACUUGAUAUAUUGCAGAGUUGUGCUUCUAUCAUUUCCUAAGAUAUACUGAAAUUAAAAGUUCAGCUUCUAUUUGUUGAGCUGGUUUCUUUUCACAGCCGACAGCUGAAGCUAAAUAAAAUGUCCUUAAUAUGCUUUAAUUCCUAUAAUCAGCGCUACAGAUUUCUUCUAACACUGUAAUGCUAGGCUGGAGUUUGAGGUUUUCGCUACUGCUCUAAUCUUCGAUGCUAUCUCAAACUACUAAAAUUUUAAAAUUAUGUUUCAUCUUCACCAAGAUUAAAUGUGAGAACAGAGGCCAUGUAUGACGUACAUUGUAGUUUGAGUUUUCAUCAAUGCUGUUGAUAUUUUUAUCUAUUUGUAGCGUCAUAUAAAUGAGUUUUAACAUGGUCAUUUUACAGAAUGAGCAAACAAUGGUUGGUCGGUACUAGUAGAAGCUUCACUUGCGAAUGUGUGCCUUUCUGCCUUAAGAAUUCUUUUUCAUUGUCGAGGAACACUUUUUUUAUGGGCCAGUUGCAUUGACUUUAUCCAUGGCUACAGUCACAAGACAAUUAAGCGCUCAUAGGAGAAAACAGACUAUGAAUAUAUGUAAAUUUACUCUUUCACAUGGUAUGGGCUUUAUAGUUAUCACCUUAUGACACAAUGUGACUGUUCUCCGUGUGAGCCUAUGGUUCAAAGUCAAUGCAAAAUAUCUGCUACCAUACUUUGAUUCGGAACGUGAGUUUCUACCAUCCACCGGGUACAUCUAUAAGUUCUUUUUCCUCUUUCUUUUUUUGUGAUUUGGGCACAACACUGCUUGAAUGUCUAAUCAGAUUGAAAAUUAUAUUUGAUUGUUCAGCUGUGAGCAAACUUUGUGUGCUAUCUAACACUAGAAUGUUACAUCUAAUUAUGCUUAUGGCUAACUGGUGGUUUUAUAUACUAUCAUGCCAUCUCCUUUUUGCGAUCACACUUACAAAUCUAUGUUUGCAGAAUGGGAAGUUGCAGAAAGAGAGAAAAGGUGGGCCACUCAGAUGUGGCUCAUUGACGAUGUAGGAUUGAAUAUGGAUAAGGGCAGGAUGCCGCUUUCAUCAACAUGAAACAUGACCACACCACUUGGAGUUGGAGAUGACAUACUCACAUGAGCCUUGGGAAGCUUUUGUAGUGGUGCUUGUUUGCUUUGGAUAGUAUAUGCUUGAUAAUUUCCCCGUGUUGUUCGCAUGUGUAAGCGGGUGAAUGGAUUAUCUUGUAAUGAACUUCUAGUUUCUUGAAGCAGCAACAACCAUGUCCUCCUUUGUUGAAUUUGCUUGAGAAUGCAUAGUUUGGUCAGUUCGCUAUUUUUAAAACUCUGCAGUUUGCUCUCCCAACUUUUAUCUGAUUUCUAGAUCCAUCUCCCAAAAGGGGUACCAUUGCUUAGAUUUGACAUGGCGGCUCGCUCAUCUCAAUUAAUCUUGUGAAUUCAAUUAUUGCUACAUGUCAAGUGUUGAUGUCACCACAGUUCUAUUAGAACCACAUGAUGUUAGGUCAGAGAGUGCAAGGCUACAGUGAUAAUUGCUAGAGUACUGCCAACCUCUGUUUCACUGAUGCUUCUCAUAGGCCUGGGCAUACACUUGUGUCUCAGCACUUUCUCCCAUCAUACAAAGAUCAACAUGCAGUUCACCGACUCCGAAUCCUUUCUCUCUAUGUAGUCCUUCUAGGUGCAUAUUACAGCUAACCUCUCAUGUUGAUCAAACAAUGCCCCAUUUCCUGGUGUACAACAAACACUGUUUAAGAUGCGGGAUCCAGUCAAACUGCAUCGUCGAGCGUAGUGUCCAGAUUUUAUGUUGCUGUAAUUGCUUGUUUCUCCACGCCUUGAAUUUGUAAUGGCACCACCUGUUGAGUUCUCUCGACUCGCUGCGAUGGGCUGCGUCCAGUGGCUCUUGUAGUUUCCCGAGUUUCAGAACUUCCCCUGGCGCCUAGGGAGUGUGUUUCAAUCUCAUUCAUGUUUCACCCUUGUAUUUUUCUGUGAAAAUUCCAUCCAACCGCAUCAUGGCUCUCAAGCCUGAACAUUUGUAGCACAGACCAUGUUUUGAUGAGUAAAACUGCCCCUUUAGAGUUUCUGUCUGUUACAUUAUAUAUAUAUUGAUCUAAUAUGCAGGAAGUAGCACAUGAGCCCCUGUAGAUGUAGGGUUCAGACUAACUCUAUCAUCAAACAUCAUGCUGUGUUUCUCGCCUCGGAUUUUAUAACAGGAUGUAGCAUUAUUUCCACCCCCGUGCUGUCAGAGUUCUCUCAGCUCACCGUGAUGGACUCAGUCCAGUGGCUCUAGCUUUUACUCCCUCUGUCCCAUAAUAUAAGAACGUUUUCGGCACUACACUAGUGUCAAUAACGUUCUUAUAUUAUGGGACGGAGGGAGUAGCUUAUUAAUGCCAGUUAGAUCAACAGUAUUAUUGAAGAAUUCUUGGAGAAAACAGAGUAGAUCAUUCUUGAACAUAUCCUUCAAAAACUAAUAGAACUCAUUUGUGUAGCAAUCAGUCAUGAGCAGGCAUUACCUUGUCGAUUUCCAUUAAAGAAACCACCAGUGUUUAAGAAAGAAAAACAAAGAACAAAGAUUCCCUAAGAAGUGAAGAAUUUGAGUGAUGCCCACAACAUGAUGCAAGUACACUAUGCAAGUACAGUAUGCAAGUACUCAAAAGAAUAACAUGCAUCCAGAUUGCAGCACACACAAUUUAGCUACACUGCAAGGUCCACACUGAUCAAGUACUCUCAGGCUAUCAGUACCUAGAAAUUAAAUUAUUACUGGGCGCGCCAUAACACGAAAGCUCAUGAGCUCUGGUGGUUAGGCGCAAUCGUUCACCAGCGGGACGGUUCGAUCCCUAUCGCGCGGGCAUAGCCGCUACGAGCAUAAUCAUCCCCACGGCCGAGGAGGAUUCAUGUGUGAGUCGCUCCUUGAUCCGACGCCUGCGACCUUUAUCCACCUGGGAUCUCCUUGGGUAAAUGGCAUCGCAUUUCUCACAUGGGACUUCACCACGCAACUCGAUUCUCUUCAGCCCCACAGCUCGCUCCAUGACUAGCCUUAUGUAGUUUGUCACUUUGUCUUCAUCCUCAAAACCGUACAUCCGGAGCAACUUCAACUUUAGGUGCUUCAAAUCCUUGGAUGGUUCCCACACCAUGUUGGUCUUCUCGGCACUGUCCUGAGACGGUAUGUCACAUGCAUGCCGCUCUCGAGAUAACUUCACUCAAGGGCAUACAAGACAAAUAACACAAGUUAAUUGAACUCGACACCAACCCAUGCAGGGCAAUGCAGGAACAGUUCAAACUAAAUAUAUCUGCCAUUAAAUUUUUUGCAACAUGUUAAGUAUUACUCCCUCCGUCCCACAUUGUAAGACGUUUUUUGACACUAGUGUAAUGUCAAAAACGUCAUACAUUUAGUAUCUAAUCUAAGUGUAUGCCUGUGCAGAGUUUGGACAACCUUGCAUGAACUAAAUCCUAGGCAAAGUAAAAUAUGCUAACAUGCUUCAGGUAACUCUAACACGAGUGCGAUCCAACAUGAUUUAUUUAUUUAUUGUCUUGCACGGACGUUGUCUCUCUGCAAAAUAUAAAUGGAAUGCCAAAACUGUUGUUUGCAUUGCACUAUCAUUCAUACACAAUACAAUCCAUGUGUUCCAUAUAUCCCAAUUACUAUGCAUACUCUAUGCGCUACUUCUAAAAUACUACUCCCUCUGUCCCAUAAUGUAAGACGUUUUUUGACACUAAUGUAAUGUCAGAAAACGUCUUACAUUAUGGGACGGAGGGAGUACUUGUGAUAAGACUAGAGUUGUGUCAGCACUAGAGCUCUAUUGCUGACGAACGGCGCAUCAGGGAGCAGACAGGAGAAGAAGGGGACAGAUACUAAGUGGCAGGCCGAAAGUUGACUCAAAUGUAUGGGCCGUUGGCCCAUCUCGUAGGGCAAGAGGACCCAUGUAAUAGAGUGCGUAAAUACCCAGUAGCUGAGCCGGAGAAGGCAGCGAAUUGUAAUUGGAUCUCGAUCCCCUCUCAGACUCUCCCUUCUUCCUUCUUCCCCAAGCUGUACAUCUUCUCCCAAUCCCCAUUCCAAUCUCUACGAAAGUACUAUGUAUCCUUGAAUUCGUUCAAUAGAUCGUGAGCAGAGGGUUCUGUACAUCACAUUUGGUAUCAGAUUUGGGUCGAUCGGCGGCGGGAUCGGGCUCGGCGACGGUCGGGUUGGGUUCUCUCGUAAAAUCCCCGUUCGUUGGCUGGGUCUGCGGCGGCGGAGGGUGGCCCCAGUUCUUUGGCGGCACGGGCGGCGUCUUCGGCGGCGGCGGUGAACUGUUCGGCGGCGGAUCGAGGGUAGCUCACGGUUGCACUCAGAUCCUCUGGGUGUGUGAAAUUCCGGUGGGCUACUCGGUUGGCGCUGCACGGCGGUGUUUGGAGUCGGUUGCAGAGGAAGGGGUUAGCGGCUGCUGUAAAACUCCCUGGUACUCGCCGAUUCCUGGUAGGCGGUGAAGCUGGCGACUACGGCGCCCCCCAAGCCGAAUCAGCAGACACGUCUCGUGGUGGAUGCCAUGGAGACCAUCGAGGCGUGGGUGGGAGAACAGCUGCAGCUUCUGCAAACGGUGGGCGACAAGUUGGGUAAGUUGGAUGAUCUGUUUAGUCGCUUGGAUUCCCUCGAUCAGCAGUUUGCGACACAGGCAGUGCUGAUGCAUAUUGUUUAGAACAAUGUCAGUCUCACGAUGAAGUCGAUUGGGGAAAUUAGACAGGAGCAGGCAGCAGCUGCUCGUGAGUCAGGACCGAAGCAAUCUCCUCCGAGCGCGUCCACUAGCGAUGGCAUUUUGGAUACGCCACCGCAGCAUAGGCAACCGGCCGUUCCACCACCUGUGUUUGUGACUCAAGUUGGGCAUUCUGCAACAGAGCAUUUUGGGACAGAAGUUCAGUUGAAGAAACCGUGGAUGCCCAAAAUGGAUUUUCCCCGUUUUGAGGGAGAGGAUGUUCGUAUCUGGCUAGAUGGAUGUGAGGCCUACUUCUCACUGUAUGCUAUCCCUGAAGAAUUCAAGGUCACGUCAGCUACGCUGCACCUGUCUGGUGAUGCAGCAAAUUGGUUCCAUGCAUACAAGGCUCUGCAUCAGUGGCCGUGCUGGAAUGAGUUUAGGAUGGCAGUUAUGCAGGAGUUUGAUGUGAAUGUUCAUCGCACAAAGAUGAGAGCUCUGUUGUUACUUAAACAGACCGGAUCAGUGGCUGAGUACAAACGGGAGUUCACCCAACUAGUGUAUCAACUUUUGUUGUAUGAACCGACAUUGAGUGACACAUUUUUGGUGACGAGGUUCACUCUGGGCCUCAAGGAAGAACUCCGGGCUGCUGUUGAUAUGCAGCUACCCACUACUGUUAGUGAAGCAGCUUCAUAUGCAUUGAUCCAGGAAGAGAUUGUACAGCGUGCUCGCUCUAACAGAAGUUUUACUACCAGAACUGCCUUCUUCAAGCCGGACACACGCCCAAGCACUCCACCAGCUGGAGAGCUAUGGAAAGCAAGGCAAUUGAAGGAGUAUAGGCGCACUAAUGGCCUGUGUUUCAGUUGCGGUGACAAAUACGCACCUGGUCAUACUUGUGUGAAACCACCCACUCCUACUGCAGUCAUGGCCAUGACUAGUGCAGCUGAAGCCAUUUUGUCGGAUGAUAUACUUGAUGUAGUAGAAGAACAAGAAACUGCUUAGCAGGAAAUGCACUUGUCUGUCAAUGCCUUGUCUGGAGCUGAUCACCCUAGAACCAUUCGCUUGCGAGCUCUUAUUGGCAAUCAAGUGGUACUUAUUCUCCUAGACUCCGAUAGUACUCACAGUUUCAUGGAUUCAGCGUUGCUGCCCAGAAUUCAAGUGACACCACAACAACUGUCCAAAGAAAUCUCUGUAACAGUGGCCAAUGGAGAGAAACUGUUGUGUAAUUCUGAAGUGCCCCAGCUCAACUGGUGGAUCCAGGGACACACAUUUGAGUAUGAUUUUAAAGUUCUUGAUUUGGGAGGUUAUGAUCUCAUUUUGGGCAUGGACUGGUUGGAAGCUCAAGGGGAAAUGACAUGUCACUGGAGAAACAAAUGGAUCCAGUUCAAUCACAAGGAUAGUCUGGUUAAGCUGCAAGGAAUUCUUCCACAGUCUACAGAGGACAUCAAGGAGGUCACUCUAGAACAAACUAUGAAAUGGCACAAAGGUAAUGAUAUUUGGGCAGUGGCACUGAUACAACCAGUAUGGGACAAAAAGCCUGACCCUGUUCCUGAUCCAGUACAACCCUUGUUACAGGAGUUUGCAGAUGUCUUCAAAGAACCUACGGAGCUACCACCCUCUCGAACUUUGAACCAUGCAAUACACUUGUUACCAGGGGCCGCUCCUGUCAACUCCAAACCUUACAGAUACUCAACACUGCAAAAAGAUGAGAUUGAAAGGCAAGUUGCAGAAAUGCUUAAAGCUGGUACUAUCACUUCCAGUCUCAGCUCUUUUGCUUCUCCUGUCCUAUUGGUAAAAAAGAAAGAUGGAUCUUGGAGAUUUUGUGUAGAUUAUAGGAAGCUAAAUUCCAUCACUGUGAAGAGCAAGUUCCCAAUGCCAGUGGUAGAUGAGCUUUUGGAUGAGCUUAGUGGCACUAAGUGGUUCUCCAAGUCAGAUCUCAGGUCAAGAUAUCAUCAAAUCAGAAUGUUAACGGAGGAUGAACACAAAACAGCUUUCAAAACUCACAGUGGACAGUAUCAAUUUAGGGUGAUGCCUUUUGGUCUUAUUAAUGCCCCCUCCACUUUUCAAUGCAUCAUGAAUUGGAUUUUUGCUGCUUACAACAGAAAAUUUGUUCUUGUCUUCAUGGAUGAUAUCUUAAUCUUUAGUGAGACCCUGGAAGAACAUUUGGAACAUCUCAGAAUAGUGUUUCAAACCUUAAGAGAGCAUCAGUUCUUUGCUAAGAGUACCAAAUGCACUUUUGCACAACAACAGUUGGAAUAUCUAGGACACAUCAUUUCUGACAAAGGGGUUCAGACAGAUCCUGAGAAAACUUUGGCUAUGGCCAGGUGGCCUACUCCUCAGAACGUGACUGAAUUAAGAGGCUUUUUGAGGCUCACGGGAUAUUACAGGAAGUUUGUGCAAGGAUAUGGUAUGAUUGCUAAACCACUCACUCAACUACUGAAGAAACAAGCAUUUGCUUGGUCCUCAGAGGCCCAGGAAGCCUUUGAGAAACUCAAGGCAGCGAUGAUGACUACUCUUGUAUUAGUGUUGCCUGACUUUGACCAGCCGUUCUGCAUUGAAACAGAUGCAUGUGCUACAGGAAUUGGUGCCGUGCUCACUCAAGGAGGACACCCUGUUGCCUUUUAUAGCAAAGCCUUGGGCAUCAAAAAUCAAUCUCUGUCCAUCUAUGAAAAGGAGUUUUUGGCAAUUAUGAUGGCUGUAGAAAAAUGGAGAGCGUAUCUACAGCGAGGGCCUUUUAUUAUCAAAACGGAUCAUCAAAGUCUGUGUUAGUUGGAAGACCAAGUCCUUACAACUGAUGUUCAGAAAAAAGCCAUGACCAAGUUAGUGGGGCUGCAAUUUCAGUUUCAAUACAAAAAAGGCAGUGAGAACUUAGCAGUUGAUGCCUUAUCCAGAGUAGGGCACUUACUGGCAGUGACCACUACUUCCACCAGUAGACCUGUGUGGCUACAGGAAGUACUUAAUUCAUAUGAGGUGGACCCAGAUGCUCAAACACUGCUUCAGAAACUAGCUAUUUCUGCUGGUGAUACAUCAAAGUACUCUCUGGAGAAAGGUGUGAUCAAGCAUCAAGGCAGAAUAUGGAUUGGAGCAAAUCAAGCAUUGAGAACAAAACUCAUUUCUGCCUUUCAUGCAAGUGCUGUGGGGGGACACUCUGGCAUCCAGGCUACAUAUCAAAGAGCUAGGAAACUGUUUGUGUGGACUGGGCUGAAACAAGAUAUCAUUGAUUUUGUUCAUCAAUGAGCUGUGUGUCAACAAGCAAAGCAUGAACAUGUGAAAUCUCCCGGAUUACUUCAACCACUUCCUGUACCUGACGGACCUUGGCAGGAGAUCACCAUGGACUUCAUCGAAGCUCUACCAAAAUCUGAGGGCUAUACAGUGAUCUUAGUGGUGGUUGAUAGACUGACCAAGUAUGCUCACUUUAUCCCCUUGAAACAUCCUUUCUCUGCUCCAGUGGUAACGAAAGCAUUCCUACAUACUGUGGUCAAAUUGCAUGGACCACCCCAUACUAUAGUUUCCGAUAGGGACAAGAUCUUUACCAGUCACUUUUGGAAGGAUUUGUUCAAGCUUUGGGAUACUAAAUUGCUCAUGAGUACUGCCUAUCAUCCUCAAACAGAUGGGCAGAGUGAAAGAGUGAAUCAGUGUUUGGAGAUGUUUCUCAGAUGUGCAGUACAUGAUACUCCAACAAAAUGGCAUUCCUGGUUACCCUUAGCAGAAUUCUGGUACAAUACUAAUUUUCAUUCUGCUUUGGAGUGCUCCCCUUUCAAAGCUCUCUAUGGAUAUGAACCUACUUAUGGGGUGUUUCCCUCUUUGCUUACCUCUGAUAAUGUUGAAGUAGAACAGUGGCUUAAGGAACACCAGGCACAUACAUCUCUGCUGAAGGCGCACUUACUUAAAGCCCAAACGAAGAUGAAACACUAUGCAGAUCGGAACAGAUCACCCAGGAUGUUUUCGGUGGGAGACUCGGUGUAUUUGAAGCUCCAGCCAUAUGCUCAACACACUGUAGUAAACCGACCAUGUACAAAAUUAGCAUAUAAGUUCUAUGGGCCUUUUGAAGUUUUGGAACAGAUCGGACCGGCUGCUUACAAACUUCAGCUACCUGCAGCAGCCCAGAUCCACCCCGUGUUUCACGUCUCUCAACUCAAAGAAUUUGUGCCAGAUCAUACACCAGUCUUCUCCACUGUGCCUGCCCCAGUUGAUUUUUCCAGUAUGAACGUGCAGCCAGGUAUGAUCUUGGACAGGAAAUUAGUCAAAAAAGGUGACAGUGCAUUGUUGCAGGUUUUGGUACAGUGGACAGGACUUCCAGCCGAGGCAGCCACCUCGGAGGAUUACGAUACAAUCAAGCUUCGCCUGGGGUCAGGCUGAAUCUCAAGAGGGCGGCACUGUCAGCACUAGAGCUCUAUUGCUGACGAACGGCGCAUCAGGGAGCAGACAGGAGAAGAAGGGGACAGAUACUAAGUGGCAAGACGAAAGUUGACUCAAAUGUAUGGGCCGUUGGCCCAUCUCGUAGGGCAAGAGGACCCAUGUAAUAGAGUGCGUAAAUACCCAGUAGCUGAGCCGGAGAAGGCAGCGAAUUGUAAUUGGAACUCGAUCCCCCCUCAGACUCUCCCUUCUUCCUUCUUCCCCAAGCUGUACCUCUCUUCUCCCAAUCCCCAUUCCAAUCUCUACGAAAGUACUAUGUAUCCUUGAAUUCGUUCAAUAGAUCGUGAGCAGAGGGUUCUGUACAUCACAAGUUGGUGAGUGAUUGAAAAUCAGAUUAACUUUCUCGUUUGUUGUUAAUACUGAAUAUUCGGAAACCUGGCUGUCAUACUAGACGGAGUCAUGAUAUCGAGGCUAAGGUGUGGAUUAAUUAAAUUAAAAAGAAGGUAGAGUAACAGGCUUACUGUAAACUUGUGCAGGGCAGGUGCAGCUUCGAGGAUAAAUAGGGUCCAGCUCAGAUCACACUCAGGGAAGAUACCAGAAAAAGACACUUCAGUAAGAUUUCUGAAUAUGGCAGUGAGAUGCUUGGGAUGUUCCGGGUGAAUCCAUAUCUGCACCAAGAAGAGGAACACAAAUAAAUAGACGGAUGAAAUUAUUAGUAAAGAAGAGCAUAUCAAGAUAUGUGUGCAGAAGAAAAUUACAGUAGCUUUUACCAUUUGGUGGCGAAAAUUGAGAUGCAAAGCACUCGUCAUUGAGAAGCACUGCCGAUGGAGCUCGGAUGAGAGGCCGACGACAGGAAGAAGCGGAGGCAGAUGGCCUUCAUAGCCAUGGCACGGCCGCGCUGGCACUCGCAGUUGCGCCUGGCACAGACGGACGUCAAAGCGGCCGUGAACGCGUCCAUGGUCUCUACCAGCGUGGCCCGGCGGAAGCUGCGGACGUCGAGUGUCACGAACGAAAGCUGGUGAGGGAGGUGGCGCCACCGCUUGGAGACCGUGCUGGCGCGGAUCGCCCGGCGCAGGCCGAGCCGCUCGAGGAUCCGGAGGAGGAGCUCGUCGGGAAGCGCGCUGAUCCUGUCCUCGCCUCGGGCGACGUUGAGCUUGAGCGGCGGCAGCUCCAUGGCCGGGAUUGGGGGCCCGGUUGAUGGAUCGAAACCCUAGCUAGCUAGAACCAGUCGCCGAGAUGCUCCGAGGCCGCGGCUCCUCCGGCGCUCCGGCUCCGCCCCGCACCUCCGGCGUGUGGCCCGUCGAUCGCCGGAUCCGACUCUUGCCUCCUCCUCCUCGAUCCCCCUCCGGCCGGCGUGGUUAGCUUCGAUUUGGUGGUUGGUUGGAUCGUAGUGCAUCGGAUUGGACUGGAUUUGUGCUCUAGUACUACCAGCGAGGGAGGAUUCAAGCGGAUUGUUCCUCUCGGCGGCUGGACGGAGUGGGGAGAGAAACAAUAAGACCACGGGAAGGGGAGGGGAAAGGGGAGGAGGCAGAAGAAGCUCACUUUUUUAGUUCUUACUAUGCCGUAAAUCCCAUUCAUUUCGAGUAGGUAGAUCAUCCCUCGAUAUGUGCCGCAAGGUUGUACUUCAUUUCAUUUUCCAAGGCUACGACUGUUGCAUGUCUAUAUUGAACUUUCCAUAAAAUCUCGUACCAAAAACACACGGUUGCGGGAAAUGGAUACAGAUACUAUUUCAAUAGAAAUUAAUAUGGAUGUUUGCAUGGGGAAAUAUAGAGUUAAAUACACGGGAGGUGGCGAACCAACCUGUGGUUGGAUGGUUAGAGGGACUGUGGUAUCCCCAACCCUUCAGGGUUCAAAUCCUGAUGCUCGUAUUUAUUUCUGGAUUUAUUUCAGGAUUUCCAGCGAUGCGCGCUAAGGUGACUUCGUAAACCUCAAAUGCUGUCGGGAUGACGCGGUGCUCUGGCGGGAUAGGUUUCGCGAGGAGGAUCGUGGUCACAUAGAUGCCUGGCUUCUGGCGCUCGCUGCACCGCGAGGCUGAUCCCUUAACCCCCGCCCCCCUCCCCCUUCUCUUUGUACAGGUUUCUUGGUUUCUUGUUGUAAUGUGCCGUCCGCGCGUGUCGUUCCGACCGCGCGCUCAUAGGGGUAGGGUGUGCAUGUGUGCGUUCAUAUGGGUGAGUGUAUGCGUGUGUAUAUGAGCGCUUGUGUCUGUACUGAUGUUCAAAUAAAAAUACACGGGGGGUGCCUUAGCUAGUCGAGCACGGUCGCUUUGGUGCCCAAAAUUGUAAAAUACGUGAAAUUGGUGCUAUAGCUUGUCUUAUGAUGUAAAUACGGUGCCUUCAUACGUAUUUGGGGUGUACAUCCUACCCACGUGGCCUUGGCCCACAUAUCAGUCAAUGACAGCUGAUGAGGUGUGCGUGAGAACUUUUUUGCAAAAAAGAAUAUCCGCAUAUUGUUUUAGUAACAAUUACAUAAAAAAGCCAAACACAGGUCCUACAUGUCAGUCUGUUAAUACCGCAGAAAAACAAACUGCCUCGCUGAUGAGUUUCAAAACUGAGACGUCCUGGCUCAAAACCCGCACGCUAGCCACCGGGCAGAUGACUACCGUAAGGCUUCAUUUGGAUUUAAGAGGAGCUACUCCCAGGGAACAAGUGCCUCGUGGUGAAAUUAGCCUGUGCAAACUUGAACCCCGUGGAAAAUCUACAUCGACCUUUGGCUGUUGGGGCUCGAGGGUAACUGGGGAUUGGGGAUGGCCAAAUCGGAAGCAGCGCUCGAGGCAGGAAGGAGUGGGCGGCGUUGCUCUCGAUCGUUGUUAGUGUGAGUCGUGGGAACGAGCGAGAGGGGGAUUUCCUCCACGGCCUGUGGAGGCGUGGAAAUCUCAGCCAGGGAAGGGCCACGGAAAGGGCCGGGGUCGCUCCCCUCUGUUGGGCACCAAAUGCAGCGGUACCUUUCCCUGGAUCGAUUCGGUCCAGGUAUUUUCUAGCCAGUGAAAGGAGGGGGAUCCCGGGAGGAUCCCUAUUACCAAAUGAUCCCUAAGUAGUACAACUGCUACCUGGUUUCCUAUAUAGAUUAAUUCUACCUAUAUCACACCAAAGUGGAGUUCCCCAAAACGGUGCCCGACGCUCCCCUCGGUCGCUCCCACGGGCGGCCAGGGAGCGAGCCCUAGCCACCGCCAGAGCCACACGCCGGCGUCCCCCUCCCCUCCCUGCCGCCGGCAGGAGUCGCUGGGCGAAGCCCGAGCGGCUCGGCGGUGGUGAUGCCAUCUUUCUCCUCCCGAGCGAGCGGCGCGGGCCGUUCACUUUGGGGGGAUUCUAACUCGCGAUCGGCCAGGGCGGCGCUCGGUGCGUGGGCUGGUGUAGGCAGGAGUGGCGCAGUGCAAGGUGGGGCGGAGGCUCAGGGGUGGCCACGCGCGCGACUCGGAUCUGCCGCGCUGCAGCGCAAAUCCGCGGCGACGCGGUUCGGUGGCCAUUGGCGGGUGCCCGUGAUGUCCUACUGCCGUGCGGAACGCGGGGUGCAUCAGUGCUCGAGGGAGGAUGGCCUUGGCUGUCCUGUAGGCGCGACGCAACGGAUCUGGUGUCUUCGAAUGAACUGACCGUACUACAAAUCGACAUCCGGUAUCCGGCAGGCGCGUGGUGGCGCGCAUGGCGUGCGUUGCCACAUCUGGUUCAUGGUUGCGGCUGGGAACCGUGGUGGUUCUCCGUCUCGGGCGGUGCUUGGCGCUGCCGGAAGGUGGAGCCGGUGGAUGUCGACCAUGGGGAUUGUGUGCUACGCAGUGCUUCGGAUCUGCUCGAAUUCAGAGGUAUGGAGGAUCUCCGGGCGAAAGCCUAGCACUAACCUUAGGUUGGUGCCGGCAACAGCGGCGCCAUGGCCAUGGUGUCGUUCCCCUUCUUGAAGGUGUUGUCGUGGUGCUCCAUUGCACGACUCUCCGGGAGAAAUCCCUAGCUUCGGAUGAUCAAAGCAGGCGAUGACGGCGGCUAUGCCAUUUCCUUCUUUAAUUUGAGGCAUCGUCUUGGAGAGUCAGCAUGUUGCAGUUUGCACGGAUCUCUUCGUCGUCGGGGACAGUGGACGUCGGGGCGGAUGCUCUGGAUGGUUUCUGAUUGUGCGUCGAGAUGACGAUCUCGGGAACAAUGUGAGUGGCAGCUCUAUGAGGUGGGGCUCUAUCUUGACAUUGGUUGGGUGGCAUCCUUGCCCCGCUUGGCCGGUAGGGGUGUCGACUCGGUCGAUGCGCCCUAGAGGGGGUUGUCUGACUUUACGUCGGGGGCGGCGGCCCCAGAUGUGGUGCGACGUCCGUGGUCUGCGACCGGUUGCCAUGAGCAGUGUGGGCUGCGGGCAACUGGGUUGUUUGGCAUUGCUGCUUGAGUGGAGCGGUGCUAUGUCGGGGCGGCGCCCGGAAGGCGGUGCCGGUUGAUUGUGCUGGGCGCGACGGAGUGGUGGAUGUUAGGGCAUCGGCCCCGAGUGAAUCUCUGUGGCGACCAGACUUUUGUGGCAACGAUGAUGGUGGGAGCGAUGUGGGCGACGCGAUAAUGGUUGUGGUAGUCGCUCUUCUCUGACGUGUCCAUGAUUUUGCCUCGGUUUGCUUGUUGUUGUGGAGUCGAAGCUGCGGCGGUGGGGCCCUGUGGUGUAUGAUGACUGGCUGCAGGUGGCCCAUUCUGCGAUCUUCUGUGGCGCCAGCCGUGCUUGGUUUUGUUCUUCUGAGCUCUCCGUCAGAGUUGGAGCUGCGUUGUCUAGCCGCAGGUCGACUUGUCGUCGAUAAGAGUGGGCUUUACCCUGUGUGCUCAGUCUAUGAGAGUGGGCUUGGCCCUUGUUGUUCUGGUUUUUGACCGGUUUUUCAUAAUUAACCUGGCAAUUAUCUUCUGCUUAAUUAAUAGAUGUGGCAAUCUUUGCCUCCAUUCGAGAAAAAAAAUUCAACCUAUCGCUUUCUUGCAAAAAAGGAGAAAAUUUUUGACUGGCGCUCUGCAGUUUCCUUUUAUGUUAUUUACCUUUUUUUCAAUUUACUACUGUUUAGUCAUAUAUAAAUUACAAUAAUUAUCAAUAUUUGAUUAUUGUCUAUUUUAAUUUUUAUUCUAUUUUCAUUAUUAUGUAGGUAGAAUAGGUAAACAUGAACAUUUUCUAAAAUUUAUGUGAAUUUAAACAGUUCAACAUAUAUUAUAAAAUACUGUAAAUGUGUUAAAACAUGUUAAACAUGUUUGUAGGAACUUUAAAUUCUGUAAAUGUGUUAAAACAUGUUUGUAGAAAUAUAAAAAUAAAUUUACACAAUAAACUUUUUUUAAUACAUGCUGAACAUUUUUUAAAAUAUAUGUUGUCAAUUUUUUGAAUGCAGGGCAUACUUUUUUUAAAACACGUUUACAAUUCUUAAUACUGCAGAGCCUUUUCCAAAAAUAUCUUGAACACUUUUCAAAUGCACUAACACUUUAUUUAAGUUGAUGGCAGUUCUAGUAUUUUCUUACAUUUAUUUUUUAAAGGGAAAAUAAUAUAGAAAAUAAACAUGAAAUUGGAAAAGGUGAAUAAAAAGAAACCUUGUGUGAGCCCAUAAUAGCGUCAUAUAUUAAAAAAAAUACUUGGACAGAUAAAUACUAAUGCGACAUCUAUAAGUCUAGCUCAAAAAAUGUUUACAUAAGCUAAGGCUUACCUGGUGGUCACUUUGGGCGGGCUGUACACCGAGGUCCCAGGUUCAAAACACUUGUUCGUGUUUUUGUUCUCUCUCUCUGGUUUAUCAAUCAUACUAACCAGUGUGACCCAUGUUUCUAAUUUGAGGUGUUUCUUACAUAAUAAAAAAAGGAGGGUUUUCUGUAAAAAGAAUCCUCAUGUGCGGGCCACCCACUGCCACCCACCGACAUGUGGGACAUGGCCGCUUUGGCAUGCCAUGUAGGUAGGACAUACACCUGAAUACGUACAGAGGCACCGUAUUUGCAUCAUAAGACAAGUUAUAACACCAGUUUUAUGUAUUUUAUGACUUUAGGCAUCAAACUGACCGCACAAGACAAGUUAAGGCACCACUGAUUUUUGGUUAUCCAACGUUCGAAAAUAAGGAUCGACCCCCACACCGUCUCCAGAGGGGCGGCUCGUAAACCUGUUCAUGGACAACCCAACCCGGAGGCCCGAACCCGACGCCCGACAUUCGGGUCGGGCUCGGGCUCCACUUUCUCACCCGAAGCCUGGCCCGUAAGCCCGAAAUGUACAUACAAACAUAUUUUAUUCAAAAUAUUGGUAUAAUAAAUUAAUAUAAUAUCCUGAAUAUGAUUAAUUUAAUUAAAAAUGCCACUGUUCAUGUACUUCGGGCCGACUCGACCAAUGAUCAGGUUUGCCGGCUCGUGGGAAACCUACCCGUCUUCCACCAUCCCUCCCUCGCCGACGCUGACAUAGGUCGUUGGGAAAAGCCCGUGGACAGCCGGUGGCGACAUGAUCUAAGUCUCCCUUGCGCAAUUCUUGGUUGAUGCACUUGCAUAUCCCUCCUGGUCGGCUACUCUGGCUUCCUCAUGGUGGGUUGCUUUGGCUUGCCGGCGUCCUUGUGCUGCAUUGAGGUGUGGGUUGUGGUGUAUCGCCCUCUUUCGCUGUGUGGGCAGGCUGGAUUCGGCCGCGAACGGCGAUGGGUCUGACAUGGCCUUUGGUGUGGUUCUUUCUCGACGAGUGUACUAGGGGAUGGAUUGUUCGACUAUGGUGAGAUGGACGGCAAAAGCAGUGCUCAAAAGUUUUUCUGGGCCAAUGAUGGCGACGACGCCUUUGGGCAUCGUUACCAUGUUGAAGGUUGCUACUUCUUGAGCUUACGUUGGUUUUUCCCUUGAAGAGGAAAGGGUGAUGCAGCAAAGUAGAGAUAAGUAUUUCCCUCAGUUUGAGAACCAAGGUAUCAAUCUAGUAGAAGGUACAAGCAAGUCUCCAGUCUAUGCACCUGCACAACAAUCAAACACUUGCACCCAACGCGAUAAAGGAGUUGUCAAUCCCUUCAUGGUCACUUGCAAGGAUGAGAUCUGAUAGAGAUAGAUAUAAAAGAUUACUAAAAUGUAAAACAAGGUAAACACAAAUAAAUUGCAGCAAGGUAUUUUUUUGGGUUUUUUGGUUUAUAAAUUCAAAAAUAUAUGAUGAAAAAUAGACCUGGGGGCCAUAGGUUUCACUAGAGGCUUCUCUCUUGAAGAUAGCAUACGGUGGGUGAUCAAAUUACUGUUGAGCAAUUGAUAAAAAAUACAAAGUUAUUAUGAUAUCUAAGACAAUGAUCAUGAAUAUAGGCAUCACGUCCAUGACAUGAGCCACCGGAAGGCCGACUGGUAGGCACGGGAGAAGGACAUGAACUGCUGCCCCAGCUCGGGGAUCUGCGGGCCGGAGUUUACCCGGAGGGGCAAAGAUAUUUGGAAGGCAAGGCGUGUGGUCUUGCCAUGGCCGACGACGUCUUGGAUGGCGCUGCCGAUGGAGCUCAGAUGAGAGGCCGACGACUGGAAGAAGCAGAGGCCCAUGGCCUUCAUGGUCAUGGCACGGUCGCGCUGGCUCUCAUAGUUGCGCUGGGCUCAGACGGACACGAAAGUCGCCGUGAACGCAUCCAUGGUUUCGACCAGCAUGGCGCGAUGGAAGCAUCGGGCGUCGAGUAUCACGGACGAAAGCUAGUGAGGGAGGUGCCGCCACCGCUUGGAGACUGUGCUGGCACGGACCGCUUGGCACAAGCUGAGCCGCUCGAGGAUCCGGAGGAGCUCGUCGGGAAGCGCAUUGAUCCUGUCCUCGCCUCGGGCGACGUUGAGCUUGGGCGGUGGCGGCAGCUCCAUGGUCGGGAUUGAGGGUCGGUUGAUGGAUCAAAACCCUAGCUAGAACCAAUUGCUGAGAUGCUCCGAGGCCGCGGCUCCGCCCCGCACCUCCAGCAUGUGGCCCGUCGAUCGCCGGAUCCGACUCUUGCCUCCUCCUCCUCCUCGAUUCCCCUCCGGCCGGCGUGGUUAGCUUCGAUUUGGUGGUUGGUCAGAUCAUGGUGCAUCGGAUUGGACUGGAUUUGUGCUCUAGUACUACCAGCGAGGGAGGAUUCGAGCGGAUUGUUCCUCUCGAUGGCUGGACGGACUAGGGAGAGAAACAAGAAGAUCACGGAAGGGGAGGAACCGGAUCCUCUGACAUCCUAAAGGGAUGUCACGUAAGCUACAGUAACCGUGACAUCCAUCCUUCACAUCCAUAUGGGUAAGCUAAAAUGAUUAUAGUUAAUUUGCAAAUUACAAAUCUACUGUAUACAUUUACAAAAAAUACAAAAAAUUAUAUAUGGUGCAAUAAAAUUAUUUUUUGAUUUAUUUUUGUACAUGCUACAGUAAAUCCGCACAGUGGUUGCUACAGUACCCUGCCAUCUCUUCUUCGUUUUACACACGCAUUUCACUGUAGCUUUGUGACAUCACUUGAGAAUGUUAGAUGAUCAACUUCCAGAAGGGAAAGGGAGGGGAGGAGGAAGAAGAAGCUCACCAGUCCCAAGCGCACUUUUUUAUUUCUUAUUUAUGCAGUAAAUGCAAAUCCCAUUCAUUUCGAGUACUCCUAGGUAGAUCAUCCCCUCGAUAUGUGCUUUCCACAAGGUUUUAUUUCAUUUCAUUUUCCAAGGCUACGACUACGGCAUGACUAUAUUGAACUUUCCACAAAAUCUCCUAAAAAACACGGGUACAGAUUAUUUAUUUACUUUGCGGGAAAUGGAUACAAAUAUUUUAAUACAAAUCAAUACCGAUGUUUGCACGAAAACAUAUAACUAUGGAUUUUGGUUACCCAACGUCCGAAAAAUAAGGAUCGACCCCCGUGCCGCCUCCACGGGGGCGGCUCGUGGAAAACCUACACGUCACUGUUACCAACCCAUCUUCCACCCUCCCUCGCUCGCCGCCGCCGGCAUAGGUUGUUGGGCAAAGCCUGUCGGCAGCCGGUGACUACAGGAUCUAUGUCUCUCUUGCGCGAUUCUUGGUGGAUACGCAUGCAUAUCCCUCCUAGUCAGCUACUCUGGCUUCAUCAUGGUGGGCUGUGUUGGAAAUAUGAGCAAAUUACUACAAGAUUUAAUCCGAAUAAACAGAAGAUAAAUCAUGACAGCAGCAACAGAGAUUAAGCUAAUCAUGCAAACUAGCAUAGUAGAUGAACAAAUCACAUCUAGGGCACAUACUAGAAACAUGAAUUCUAUCAUGAUCUCGAACAAGAAGGAUAGAAUCACAUAUGGUGCAUCGGGAACAGCACCGCCGGUGUUGGUGUUGUCGCCCAUGUCGUCGAGGAUGAGGUUGCCGAGGUCGGGGAAGAAGUCGUCGUUGGCAAAGUCAUCGCUACCAGCAGUCGCACGAGUGCGCUCCCCAAAAACUAGAUCGCCCCUCUCCCGUACAGGAUCACGAGAGGUGGGGUUCCGGAGGCCUGCUGUCCCUUCUCCUAGUGCAUGCCGAAAGGAGGGAUGGAGAAGACUUGCUUGGCGGCGCAAUGGUCUGGAACGGUGGUGCAAAACCAUGCGAUUCGGCGGCAGAUAGGGUAGACGUCUGCCUAUCAUGGGAGUAAACCCCACGUCCGAGUCGUCACGAUCCAAAAGAAUCGGAAACGGUUCAGUAAUUAAUGCGUUCAUUAAUUAUUAAUUAAUGACUCAUUAAUUUUUCCCAAGCAGCAAAAAUAUAGACAACGUGCAUAGCUCUGUCCCCGGCUCCGCUCAUUCCCGCAACCCGCGACGCGUCAUGCGAGGCGUGGCGUGGUGAGGCAAGCGAGGAGGAGGAGCGCGCGUGUAGGUCUCCUCUUUUCAUGCUCAUACAAGUGGUAGAAGAGCACAACUUAUAAAGAGGUGCAAUUCUCACUCAACUUCCGUGGUGGGACUAAACUUUAGUCUCACUCACUCCACUCACAUGUGUGCAUGAAUGGGCCAAGAGAAUUUCAGAAUUUUAGUUGGGCUUUGGGCCAAAGGCCUACUAGCAAAAUUCCAACAAUCCCCCACAAACUCUCAUUGGCACAUCUCAUCAUUUAGUUCCAAAACAUUGUUUAUAUACCGGUGCUCUGUGGAGACUGUAAUGUUGAACUUCCACUCAGAAAUUUAUGCUACACUAGAUCACAACUUGAAUAGUGGACUAUGCCUUGAACUACAAGUUUUCUGCGAGACUAGUUUCACACAAACUCUUGACCGAUACCGGUCUGCCGCAAGGCUUCCCCACGGGUGGAGCGUAUACGUCAUACUACACGGCCUUUCAUGAAUUUAUUAGAGAACACCCAAUUCUCACAGACUGCAACAUUAACCGUCAAAUUCAUAUAGGUGUGUUCCUCAGGAGAUGCUCCACAGGACAACAUAUCUGCUUACCCGAAUAAGCCACUAGGAACACAUUAAGAUAAGUAUCAACCUACCAUGCAGAUCAGGAGAGUAUUGCAUCUUUACGCAGUGGGAUAAUUAAUAUAGGGAUACUCUCCUCCCAGCUGACCAACAUCUUGUCUCCCACUUCUACUUCACGGGAUCUCUGAUCACAUAGAGUGGGUUACCACUAUGGACAACUCAUGCGGUGGGUCUCAAACCCAUCUCCAUCGAUGCAUUAUCUAUCACAUUAUCUAAACCCUUUGUGAAGGGAUCUGCCAAAUUUUUCGACGUUUGGAUAUAAUCCAACACAAUAACUCUGGAGUUCCUCAAUUUUAUGACAGAUUUUACCCUCCUCUUCACAUGCCUUGAGGACUUCAUAUUGUCCUUAGAACUGUUUAUCUUGACGGUCACAGUUUGAUUAUCACAGUUCAUCAGGAUAGGGGUAUUGGUAUUUCAAGCAUAGGGAAGUCCAUCAAGAGCUCACGAAGCCACUCUGCUUCAAUAGUGGCAGUGUCUAAUGUUGUGAGUUCUGCUUCCAUAGUUGACCUUGUUAAGAUGGUAUGCUUGCAAGACCUCCAGGAAACAGCACCACCACCAAGUGUAAAAACAUAACCACUUGUGGCCUUAAUCUCAUCAGCAUCAGAUAUCCAGUUUGAGUCACUAUAACCCUCCAGUACCCUUGGAUACCCAGUGUAGUGAAUCCCAUAGCUCGCGGUGCCUUUCAAAUAGCGCAUAACUCUCUCAAGUGCAUGCCAAUGAUCAUCUCUCGGUUUUGACACAAACCGACUCAGCUCGCUCACAGCAAAAGAGAUGUCAGGCCUCGUGGCACUCGCCAAAUACAUAAGCGAGCCAAUAAUCUGAGAAUACCUCAGUUGAUCUCUAGCAAUCCGUUGAUUCUUUCGAAGCAACACACUAGCAUCAUAUGGAGUUGGAGAAGGUGUGCAGUUGCUAUACCGAAAACAACUCAAGAUCUUUUCCACAUAGUGAGACUGAAGCAGUGUGAUCCCACCAUUCUCAUCUCUCAACAUCUUGAUGUUUAAGAUAACAUCAGCUAUUCCUAUAUCCUUCAUCUCAAAGCAACGAGAUAGGAAAUCCUUAACCUCCCUGAUUGAAUCAAGUUUGGUUCCAAAGAUCAGUAUGUCAUCAACAUACAGACAAAGAAUAACUCCUUCACCCCCACCAUGGCGAUAGUACACACACUUGUCACCAUCGUUUACUACAAAGACGACAGUAGUUAAUGUUCUUUCGAACUUCUCAUGCCACUCCUUAGGAGCUUGUUUAAGGCCAUACAAAGACUUUAACAACUUGCACACCUUUCCUUCUUGACCAGGUACUACAAAAACCAUCUGGCUCGUCCAUGUAAAUUUCCUCCUUCAACUCUCCAUUGAGGAAAUCCGUCUUAACGUCCAUUUGAUGAACGAGAAGACCAUGUGAGGCAGCCAGUGAUAGUAGCACCCGAAUUGUGGUCAGUCUAGCCACGGGUGAGUAAGUAUCAACGAAGUCUUCACCUUCUUUCUGGGUAUAACCCUUAGCCACAAGCCGUGCCUUGUACUUUUCAAUCGUACCAUCAGGUCUAAGCUUCUUUUUGAACACCCACUUACAUCAUACAGGUUUGCAUCCAUAAGGACGACCAGUGAUCUCCCAGGUUCUGUUAGCUAAGAUGGAAUCCAUCUCAUUACGAAUAACUUCCUUCCAGUAGUCAGCAUCAGGAGAUUCAUAGGCUUCUGAAAUAGUCCUGCUGGGUGUGUCAUCCACGAGGUACACAAUGAAAUCAUCACCAAAGGACUUUGCAGUCCUCUGUCUCUUACUCCUCACAGGAGUUCCAUCGUCACCCUCAACAGGAUUCUCAACGUGUUCCAUCACAAUGGUGGGUUCAGGAAUUACAGUGAAUUCCUCACUAGAUGGAGUAGGUAUCUCCUGAUUUGAUGAACUUGACAUAUCCUUCAUAGGAAAUAUAUCCUCAAAGAAAGUUGUUUCAUUUGACUCCAUAAUCAUACCAACAUGCAUGUCAGAUACCUCAGAUUUUAUUAUCAAAAAUCUAUAACCAAUGCUAUGAAAGGCAUAGCCUAGAAGAACACAAUCCACGGUUUUUGGUUCAAGCUUGCGCUUCUUGGGAAUUGGUAUAUUGACUUUCACCAAACAAACCCAAGUACGUAGGUAAGAGAGUUUCAAUCUUUUCCUUUCCCAUUACUAAAAUGGAGUCAUGGUCUUAUGCUUUGUGGGAACUCGGUUUAGGACAUGACAUGCAGUCAUUAGCGCCUCCCCCACCAUUCCUUGGAGAGACCCGAUGUGUCUAACAUGGUGUUAACCAUAUUAGUUAGAGUUCGGUUCUUUCUUUCGGCUACCCCAUUUGACUGAGGUGAGUAGGGAGGCGGCCUCUCAUGGAUUAUACCAUGUUCCGCACAAAAAAAUCAAAUUCGUUGGAAAAAUACUCUCCAUGACAAUCAGACCUAAGCCAUUUAAUUUUUUGAUCAAGUUGGUUCUCUACUUCAGCUUUAUAGUUUUCGAAGAAAAUUAAAGCCUCGUCUUUUGAUUUCAGAAGAUAUACAUAACAAUAUCUAGUGGAGUCAUCAAUCAACGUCAUGAAGUAUAUCUUUCCACCUUUUCUCAACACGCCAUUCAUCUCAGAAAGAUCAGAAUGUAUAAGCUCUAGUGGCGCCAAGUCUCUUGCCUCUGCAGUCUUAUAGGACUUGCGAUGUUGCUUAGCUUGCACACAUACUUGGCACUUGGAGCCUUUGACAAUAGAGAUUUUUGGAAUUAAAUUCAUAUUGGCUAGCCGCGUCAUGCAACCAAAGUUAAUAUGACAAAGUCAUGAAUGCCAAAUAUCAGACUCAUUAUUGUGGCAAACAUUAUUAAUAACUUUAGUGCAAAUAUCGGACAAAGACAGGCGGAACAAGCCUCCGCUCUCAUAGCCUUUUCCAGCAAAUUGUCCAUACUUAGAAAUUAAAACUUUAUUGGAUUCGAAAACUAACUUAAAACCAUCUCGACAUAAACGGGAACCGCUAACGAGAUUUUUAUUGAUGGAUGGCACAUGAUGAACGUUCUUCAGACGCACGGUUUUCCCCAAAGUAAACUUCAGAUCGACCGUACCAACACCUCGAACGAUGGCAUGUGACACGUUCCCCAUCAGCACGGGAGAAGUCCCUGUGACCUUGUAAGAGGAGAACAUGCAUGUAGGCGUCAGCACAAACAUGUACAUUGGCACCGGCGUCAAUUAACCAAUCAGGAGAUUGAAAUACUGAAAGGAUGGUAGGAAGAAUACCGUACCCAGAUUCCUUCAUAUCAGUAUCACCGAUGACAACAUUAGCGGACUUGUCGCUCUUCUCAUGUUCGCGCUCCUCAAAGCGGUUAGGACACUUCAGAGCCUAGUGAUUAGGAUCACCGUAGACAUGGCAAAGUCCCUUCCCCUUCUUAUGAGAAUUCUUCUUGAAGUUGGUAGGAUGUGACAGCUUGUUCUUUGUAUCAAACUUGCCUUUGUGCUGAGUUUUGUUCUUGUUGUUUUUGAACUUGUUGGGCUGGAAGUUCUUCUUCUAUACCAUGUGGGCACUAGAAGCUCCCUUAGUAACUCGAGCACGUGUGUCCUUUGCUCUCGCCUUCUCUUCGAUCAAGAGUACCAAUGAGAUCCGAAACGGAGAACUCCUAUCUCUUGUAUUUCAGGGAAGUAGCAAAAUUGUGCCACGAAGGUGGAAGCUUGGCAAUGAUGCCUCCGGCAACAAAUUUUUCUGGCAACACACACUUAAAGUACUCAAGUUCCUUGGCGAGUGACUGUAUCUUAUGAGCCUGCUGUACAACAGAGCGCUCAUCAGUCAUCUUGUAGUCAUAGAAUUGCUCCAUGACGUACAACUCGCUGCCUGCAUCCGAGGCACCAAACUUGGCCUCGAGCAUAGCACACAUGUCCUUGCUGUUGUCAAACGACAUAUACGAAUCCACAAUGGAAUCAUCAAGAACACUUAGAAGAGCACCUUUAAAGAGAGUAUCGAUCUUCUCAAAAGCCUCCACCUGCACUGGAUUAAGAUCGCCCUCAGGCUUGCCCUUAGUGGCAUCAUAGAAACACAUGGUCUGAAACUAGUAGACUGCUCUUGUGCACCACCUCUUAUAUUGCACCCCCUUAAAGGCAGGCGGCUUCAGAUGCGCAACAAAACCACUCGGAGUAAAUUGACUAUAAUUAGGUUUUUGGAUUGUUGGAAAUAUGAGCAAAUUACUAUGCGAUUUAAUCCGAAUAAACAGAAGAUAAAUCAUGACAGCAGUAGCAGAGAUUAAACUAAUCAUGCAAACUAGCAUAGUAGAUGAACAGAUCACAUCUAGGGUACAUACUAGAAACAUAAAUUCUACCAUGAUCCCGAACAACAAGGAUAGAAUCACAUAGGGUGCAGAGGGAACAACACCGCCGGUGUUGGUGUUGUCGCCCAUGUCGUUGAGGAUGAGGUUGCUGAGGUCGGGGAAAAAGUCAUCGUUGGUGAAGUCGUCGCUGCCAACAGUCUCGCGAGUGCGCUCCCCAAAAACCGGAUCGCCCCUCUCUCGUACAGGAUCACGAGAGGCGGGGUUCUAGAGGCCUGCUGUCCCUUCUCCCAGUGCACGCCGAAAGGAGGGAUGGAGAAGACUUUCUUGGUGGCGCAAUGAUCUAGAACGGUGGUGUGAAACCAUGCGAUUCGGCGGCGGCUAGGGCAGACGUCUGCCUGACUAUAUAGUGUGUGCCGGGUAGGUCAUGGGAGUAAACCCCACGUCCGAGCCGUCACGAUCCAAAAAAAUCGGAAACGGUUCAGUAAUUAACGUGUCCGUUAAUUAUUAAUUAAUGACUCAUUAAUUUUUCCCAAGUAGCAAAAAUAUAGAAAAUGUGCAUAGCUCUGUCCUCGGCUCAGCUCAUCCCCGUAACCUGCAGCGCAUCGUGACGAGGCGUGGCGUGGUGAGGCGAGCGAGGAGGAGGAGCGUGCAUGUAGGUCUCCUCUUCUCAUGCUCAUACAAGUGGUAGAAGAGCUCACCUUAUAAAGAGGUGCAACUCUCACUCAAGUUCUGUGGUGGGACUAAACUUUAGUCUCACUCCCUCCACUCACAUGUGUGCAUGAAUGGGCCAAGAGAAUUUCAGAAUUUUAGUUGGGAUUUGGGCCAAAGGCCUACAAGCAAAAUUCCAACAGGCUGCUUCGGCUCAUCGGCGUCCUUGUGCUGACCGCAUGCACCUCGGACGUGCAUUCGAGCCUACCCAUUGGUGGCUUUUGCGCGUUUGGCCAGGAUGGGUUCGUUGAGGUGUGGGUGGUCAUGCAUCGCCCUCUUCCGCCGUAUGGGCAGGUUGGAUCCGGACGUAAACGACGAUGGGGUUGUCGUGGACUUUGGUGUGGUUCUUUCUCAACGAGUGUACUGGGGGAUGGUUCGACCGCGGUGAGAUGGAUGCCAAAAGCCGUGCUCGAAAGUUUUUUCGGGCCAAUGAUGGCCACGCCUUUGGGCAUUGUUACCUUGUUGAAGGUGGCGUCGAUGUCGUACUCACCUACCUGCCUGUUGGUAUAGGGGAAACCCUAGACCCAUGUGAUCUCUGAUUAGAUGCCGACGUCAAUGGUGUCAUUUUUGUCGCCUGCGAACAUCCUAUUGGAGCUGCAUUGGUUAGGAGGACCAGUGGAUGAUGACAGGUUCACGCUACAGCAGAUGCUUUCAUGUCUCAUUGGUGCCGUGCUUUGGGUGGUGAUACAUCCAUUUUGCAUCAUGUUUUCUUACUUCUAUUUAUAAUGUUUUUAUCCAUAAUAAUGCUUUUUGGUGUAAUUCUAAUGCCUUUUCUCUCAUAAUUUGCAAGGAACACACCAAGAGGGAGAAUUCCGGCAGCUGGAAAUCUGGACCUGGAAAAGCUACGUCAAGCCACCUAUUCAGCACAACUCCAAAAAAGCUGACAUUUCACGGAGAAUUUUUGUGGAUUAUUUAAGAAAUACUGGAGCCAAUAAACACCAGAGGGGGCCACCAGGUGGGCACAACCCACCUGGGCGCGCCAGGCCCCCCAGGUGCGCCCUGGUGGGUUGUGGCCUCCUCGGCCCACCUUCGGUGCCCAUCUUCUGGUAUAUAAGUGAUUUUGACCUAGAAAAAAUAAGGAGAAGGCUGUCGGGACAGAACACCUCCGUCUCGAGGCGAAACUUGGGCAGGAGCACUUUUGCCCUCCGGUGGAGCGAUUCCGCUGAGGGAACUUCCCUCCCGGAAGGGGAAAUCAUCGUCACCAUCAUCACCAUCACUCUCCCAUCUUGGGGAGGGCAAUCUCCAUCAACAUCUUCAACAGGACCAUCUCAUCUCAAACCCUAGUUCAUCUCUUGUAUUCAAUCUUGUUACCGGAACUAUAGAUUGGUGCUUGUGGGUGACUGGUAGUGUUGAUUACAUCUUGUAGUUGAUUACUAUAUGGUUUAUUUGGUGGAAGAUUAUAUGUUCAGAUCCAUUAUGCUAUUUAAUACCCCUCUGAUCAUGAGCAUGUUUAUCAUUUGUGAGUAGUUACCUUUGUUCUUGAGGUCACGGGAGAAAUUAUGUUGCAAGUAAUCAUGUGAACUUUAUAUGUGUUCGAUAUUUUGAUAGUAUGUAUGUUGUGAUUCCCUUAGUGGUGUCAUGUGAAUGUCGACUACAUGACACUUCACCAUAUUUGGGCCUAACAGAAUGCAUUGUGGAGUAGCAAUUAGAUGGUGGCUUGCGAGAGUGACAGAAACUUCAACCCCAGUUUAUGCGCUAUUCCGUAAGGGACCGAUUGGAUCCAAAAGUUUAAUGCUAUGGUUAGAAUUUAUUCUCAAUACUUUUCUCGUAGUCGCGGAUGCUUGCGGGAGGGUUAAUCAUAAGUAGGAGGUUUGUUCAAGUAAGAACAACACCUAAGCACCGGUCCACCCACAUAUCAAAUUAUCAAAGUAGCAAACACAAAUCAAACCAACAUGAUGAAAGUGACUAGAUGAAAUUCCUGUGUACCCUCAAGAAUGCUUUGCUUAUCAUAAGAGACCAUUUUGGCAUGUACUUUGCCUCAAAAGGAUUGUGCUACCUUGCUGCAUACUUGUUACUAUUAUCGUUACUUGCUCGUUACAAAUUAUCUUGCUAUCAAACUACUCGCUACUUAUAGUUUCAGCACUUGCAGACAUUACCUUACUGAAAACUACUUGUCAUUUCCUUCCGCUCCUCGUUGGGUUCGACACUCUUACUUAUCGAAAAGAGCUACAGUUGAUCCCCUAUACUUGUGGGUCAUCAAGGCUAUUUUCUGGCGCCGUUGUCGGGGAUUGAAGCGCUUUUGGUAAGUGGAAUUCGGUAAGGAAACAUUUAUAUAGUGUGCUGAAAUUUAUUGUCACUUGUUACUAUGGAAAACAAUCCUUUGAGGGGUUUGUUUGGGGUAUCUUCACAUCAUCCGGGACCACAAUUAUCUACCACUCAACCUACUGCACCUACUGAAAAUAUUGAAUAUGAAAUCCCUUCGGGCAUGAUAGAACAACUGCUAGCUAAUCCUUAUGCAGGAGAUGAAACUAAACAUCCUGAUAUGCACUUGAUAUAUGUGGAACAAAUUUUUGGAUUGUUUAAGCUUGCAGGUUUACCCAUGGAUCAAGUUAUGAGAAAGGUUUUCCCUUUAUCUUUGAAGGGAAAAGUAUUGGCAUGGUAUAGGCUAUGCGAUGCUAUUGGAUCAUGGAAUUGGAAUCGUUUGAAAUUGGAGUUCCACCAAAACUUUUAUACUAUACAUCUAGUUCAUCAUGAUCGGAAUUAUAUAUAUAAUUUUUGGCCUCGUGAAGGAGAAAGUAUCGCUCUAGCUUGGGGGAGGCUUAAGUCAAUGUUAUAUCUUGCCCCAAUCAUGAGCUUUCAAGAGAAAUUAUUAUCCAGAACUUUUAUGCUCGGCUUUCUCGUAAUGAUCAAACCAUGCUUGAUAGUGAUAACCGACAAGUAUAGGGGAUCAAUUGUAGCCUCUUUUGAUAAGUAAGAGUGUCGAACCCAAUGAGGAGUUGAAGGUAGAACAAAUAUUCCCUCAAGUUUUAUCGACCACUGAUACAACUCUACGCACGCUUGACGUUCGCUUUACCUAGAACAAGUAUAAAACUAGAAGUAAUUUGUAGUUGUAACGGGAUAGGUUUGCAAGAAUAUAAAGAGCACGUAAAUAAAAACUAGGGGCUGUUUUAGGUAAAUAAGCAAUAAAGUUAGUAUAGCGAGUGUGGAAAAGUGGUCGUAGGAGUUGUGAAAUUGUCCCUAAGCAAUUGACUACUUUACUAGACCAAUAUCAAGUUUUAUGUGGGAGAGGCCACUGCUAGCAUGUCAUCCAUGACUUGGAAUUCUAUGCACUUAUGAUUGGAACUUAUUAGCAAGCAUCCGCAACUACUAACGUUCAUUAAGGUAAAACCCAACCAUAGCAUUAAGAUAUAUUGGCCCCCCUUCAAUCCCGUAUGCAUCAAUUUCUAUGCUAAUUUGAAGCUUCUGUCACUCUUGCCCUCCAAUACAUAGUCCUAUCAACAUACAACUAACCCUAUGGUGUGAACCACGCGCGCACUCAUAUGAUGGUCACCAAAGGACAGGAACAUAACGACAAGCAAAUUAAACCAAUCAUAGCAAUUCACCAAUUACCGAUAGGACAACGAAAAUCUACUCAGACAUCAUAGGAUGGCAACACAUCAUUGGUUAAUAAUAUGAAGCAUAAAGCACCAUGUUCAAGUAGAGGGUACAUCGGGUUGCGGGAGAGUGGACCGCUGUAGAUAGAUGAAGGAAGUUGAUGAAGAUGUUGGUGAAGAUGACAGAGGUGUUGGUGUAGAUUGCUGUGACGAUGAUGGCCCCGGCGGCGUUCCGGCACCACCGAAAGCAAGGGGGAGAGAGCCCCCCUUCUUCUUCUUCCUUGACCUUCUCCCUAGAUGGGAGAAGGGUUUCCCCUCUGGUCCUUGGCUUCCAUGGCAUGGGAGGGGCGAGAGCCCCUUUGAGAUUGGAUCUGUCUCUUUGUCUCUCUCUGUUUCUGCGUUCCAGAUUCUGGCCUUUCACCGUUUCUUAUAUUCCCGGAGAUCCGUAACUCCGAUUGGGCUGAAAUUUUAACACGAUUUGUAUCCGGAUAUUGGCUUUCUUGUGGAGAAAGAAGGGCACCAACCGCCCUAUGGGGUGGCCACGAGGGUCAGGGGCACGACCACCCCCCUGGGCGCGCCCCCUGCCUCGUGGCCCCCUCGGACAUCGUCUCGCGUUGAUUCUUCUUCCUAAAAAUCACAUAUAUUCCAAAAAAAAUCUUCAUAAGUUUUUAUCCCGUUUGGACUCUGUUUGAUAUGGAUUUUCUGCGAAACAAAAAACAUGCAACAAAUAGGAAGUGGCACUGGGCACUGGAUCAAUAUGUUAGUCCCAAAAAUAGUAUAAAAAGUUGCCAAAAGUAUAUGAAAGUUGUAUAAUAUUGGCAUGCAACAAUCAAAAAUUAUAGAUACGACGGAGACGUAUCAGAUACUUCUUGUGCUGGUUCUUUUAUGAAGAAGACUAUUGAAUUCCGGUGGGAUCUUUUGGAAAGAAUUAAAUGCAACUCUGAAGAUUGGGAACUCGAUGAAGGUAAAGAGUCAGGUAUUAAACUUAAGUAUGAUUGUGUUAAAUCUUUUAUGGAUACCGAUGCUUGUCAAAAGUUUAGCACUAAAUAUGGACUUGACUCUGAGAUAGUAGCCUCCUUUUGUGAAUCAUUUUCUACUCAUGUUGACUCCCUAAAGAGAAGUGGUUUAAAUAUCACUGACCUAUUAAAGAAGAAAUUAAAGAACCGAUACCAGUUAAAGAAGAAACUAUACUUUAUAAUGUUGAUCCAGUUGUUCCUUCUGCUUAUAUUGAGAAACUACCUUUCCCUGUUAGGAUAAAGGAACAUGCUAAAGUUUCAACUGUGGUUAACAAAAGCUAUAUUAGAACACCUAAACCUGAUGAACAAAUUAAAGUAGAACCUAGCAUUGCUAUGGAUAAAGAUCUCUUGGAAGAAGAUGUUGAUGGGCAUGUUAUUUACUUUUGUGAAGAAGCUGCUAGAAUUGCUAAGCCUGAUAGAAAAGAUAAACAUAGACAUGUUGUUGGCAUGCCUGUUAUUUCAUUUAAAAUAGGAGACCACUGUUAUCAUGGUUUAUGUGACAUGGGUGCUAGUGUGAGUGCUAUUCCUUACACCUUAUAUGAAUAAAUUAUGAAAGACAUAUCACCUGCUGAGAUAGAAGGAUUAGAUGUUACUAUUAAAAUUUCUAAUAGAGACACUAUAUCACCAAUUGGGAUUGUUAGAGAUGUUGAAGUCUUGUGUGGGAAAAUAAAAUACCCUACUGAUUUUCUUGUUCUUGGUUCCCCACAAGAUGACUUCUGUCCCAUUAUCUUUGGUAGACCUUUUCUGAACACAGUUAAUGCUAAGAUAGAUCGUAAGAAGCAAACUGUUUGUGUUAGCUUUGGUGAUGAGUCUCAUGAGUUUAAUUUUUCCAAGUUUAGUAGGAAUCUUCAUGAAAAAUAGUUGCCUAGUAAGGAUGAAUUAAUUGGUAUUUCUUCUAUUGUUGUGCCACCUACUGAUCCUUUAGAGCAAUAUUUACUAGACCAUGAAAAUGAUUUACAUAUGCAUGAAAGAAAUGAAAUAGAUAAAAAUUUCUUUGAACAACGUCCUCUACUUAAACACAAUUUUCUUAUUGAAACUCUUGGAGGUCCUCCACCACCUAAAGGUGAUCCUGCGUUUGAAUUAAAACAAUUGCCAGACACUUUGAAAUAUGCUUAUCUUGAUGAAAAUAAAACAUAUCCUGUUAUUAUCAGUGCUAACCUUUCAGAACAUGAAGAAGAAAGAUUAUUGAAAGUUCUAUGGAAGCACCGGGCUGCUAUUAGAUAUACUCUUGAUGAUUUAAAGGGCAUUAGUCCCACUCUAUGUCAGCACAAAAUUAAUAUGGAACCUGAUGCUAAACCAGUUGUUGAUCACCAACGUCGGUUAAAUCCGAAGAUGAAAGAAGUGGUAAGAAUAGAAAUACUAAAACUUCUGGAAGCAGGUAUAAUCUAUCCUAUAGCUGAUAGUAGAUGGGUAAGUCAUGUUCAUUGUGUCCCUAAGAAAGGAGGUAUAACUGUUGUUCCUAAUGAUAAGAAUGAACUUAUUCCACAAAGAAUUGUUACAGGCUAUGGAAUGGUAAUUGAUUUUAGAAAAUUAAACAAAGCAACUAGAAAAGAUCAUUACCCUUUGACUUUUAUUGAUCAAAUGCUUGAAAGAUUAUCUAAGCACACACGUUUUUGCUUCCUUGAUGGAUAUUAUGGCUUUUCACAAAUACCUGUUUCUCAACCUGAUCAAGGAAAAAACCACUUUUAUUUGUCCUUUUGGAACCUAUGCUUAUAGAUGUAUGCCUUUUGGUUUAUGUAACACACCUUCUACCUUUCAAAGAUGCAUGAUGGUUAUAUUCUCUGACUUUUGUGAAAAGAUUGUUGAGGUUUUCAUGGACUUUUCUGUUUAUGGGAAGUCUUUUGAUGAUUGUUUAAGCAAUCUUGAGCGAGUUUUGCAGAGAUGUGAACAAACAAAUCUCGUCUUGAAUUGGGAGAAGUGCCACUUUAUGGUUAAUGAAGGCAUUGUCUUGGGUCAUAAAAUUUUUGAAAGAGGUAUUGAAGUGGACCAAGCUAAGGUUGAUGCAAUUGAGAAAAUGCCAUGUCCUAAGGACAUCAAAGGUAUUCGUAGUUUCCUAUGUCAUGCUAGUUUCUAUAGGAGAUUUAUCAAAGACUUUUCUAAAAUUUCUAGGCCUCUUACUAAUCUCUUGCAAAAGGAUAUUCCUUUUGUUUUUGAUGAUGAUUGUCUUGAAGCCUUUGAAACACUCAAGAAAGCUUUAAUUUCUGUACCUAUUGUUCAACACCUGAUUGGAACUUGCCUUUUGAAAUUACGUGUGAUGCUAGUGAUUAUGCUAUUGGUCCUGUUCUAGGACAAAGAGUUGAUAAGAAAUUGAAUGUUAUUCAUUAUGCUAGUAAAACUCUAGACAGUGGUCAAAGAAAUUAUGCUACUACUGAAAAAGAACUCUUAGCAGUGGUGUUUUCUUGUGAUAAAUUUAGACCUUAUAUUGUUGAUUCUAAAGUAUCUAUUCACACAGACCAUGCUGCUAUUAAAUAUCUUAUGGAAAAUAAAGAUGCUAAACCUAGACUUAUUCAUUGGGUUCUCUUGUUGCAAGAAUUUGAUCUUCAUAUCAUUGAUAAAAAAGGAGCUAAGAACCCCGUGGCUGAUAACUUGUCUAGGCUUGAAAAUGUGCUUGAUGACCCACUACCUAUUGAUGAUAGUUUUCCUGAUGAGCAGUUAGCUGCGAUAAAUGUUUCUCAUAGUACUCCUUGGUAUGCUGACUAUGCUAAUUACAUUGUUGCUAAAUACUUGCCACCUAGGUUUACAUACCAACAAAAGAAAAAAAUCUUCUAUUAUUUAAGACAUUACUUUGGGAUGACCCACAUCUUUAUAAAGAAGGAGUAGAUGGUAUUAUUAGAUGUUGUGUACCUGAGCAUGAACAUGGACAAAUCCUACGGAAAUGUCACUCCAAGGCUUAUGGAGGGCAUCAUGCUGGAGAUAGAACUGCUCACAAGGCAUUGCACUCUGGAUUUUAUUGGCCUACUCUCUUCAAGGAUGCCCGUAAGUUUGUCUCAUCUUGUGAUGAAUGCCAAAGAAUAGGUAAUAUUGGUAAGCAUCAAGAAAUGCCUACAAAUUAUUCACUUGUUGUUGAACCAUUUGAUGUUCGGGGAUUUGAUUACAUGGGACCUUUUCCUUCCUCUAAUGGGUAUACACAUAUUUUGGUUGCUGUUGAUUAUGUUACUAAAUGGGUAGAAGCUAUCCCAACUAGUAGUGAUGAUCACAACACCUCUAUUAAAAUGCUUAAGGAAGUUAUUUUCCCAAAGUUUGGAGUCCCUAGAUACUUAAUGACUGAUGGUGGUUCACACUUUAUUCAUGGUGCUUUCCGUAAAAUGCUUUCUAAGUAUGAUGUUAACCAUAGAAUUGCAUCACCCUAUCAUCCUCAGUCUAGUGGUCAAGUUGAACUUAGCAAUAGAGAAAUAAAGUUAAUUUUGCAAAAGACUGUCAAUAGGUCGAGGAAGAAUUGGUCUAAGAAAUUAGAUGAUGCACUUUGGGCUUAUAGAACAACAUAUAAAAAUCCUAUGGGUAUGUCUCCUUAUAAAAUGGUUAAUGGAAAAGCUGGUCAUUUGCCUCUUGAGUUAGAACAUAAAGCAUAUUGGGCAGUUAAAGAACUCAAUUAUGAUUUCAAACUUGCUGGUGAAAAGAGGUUAUUUGAUAUUAGCUCAUUAGAUGAAUGGAGAACCCAAGCUUAUGAAAAUGCAAAGUUAUUCAAAGAAAAGGUUAAGAGAUGGCAUGACAAAAGAAUCCAAAAGCAUGAGUUUAAAGUCGGAGAAUAUGUUCUUUUAUACAACUCUCGUUUUAGAUUUUUUGCAGGGAAGCUCCUCUCGAAAUGGGAAGGCCCAUAUGACAUCGAGGAGGUUUACCUGCCUGGAGCCAUCAAAAUAAAUAAUUCCGAAGGUACUAACCCGAAGGUUGUCAAUGGGCAACGAAUAAACCAUUAUGUCUCAGGUAUGCCCAUUAAUGUUGAAAGUAAUAGUAUCCAAACUUUCACACCGGAAGAGCACAUAAAAGAGUCCUUCCGGAACACUACAUACUCGUGAAAAUAAGGAGGUACAUGAUACGGUAAGUAAACGGACUCCGAAAAAUCUGCAAAAAUAUUUUUUGUCAGUUUUGGAAUAUUUUAGAAUUUUGGAAAUAAAGAAACUUCCUGGAAGUGUCCCCUGGUGGGCAUAAGACACCAAGGCGCACCAGGCCUGGCGCGCCCAGGUGGGUUGUGCCCACCUGGGACACCUCCCGGACUCCGUUUUUUGUCCAUGUGCUUGUCCUCCAAGAUAAAAAAUCUACAAAUACUUCCCAAACCUGUUAACCACCGUAUCGCAGAGAAAAUCCUUUGUUAUCUUUUCUUGCUGUUUUCUGCGCAGAUAUGAAAGUAUGUCCUCCCAAGACUCCAAGGGUGAGAGCUAUGUUGCUAAUCUCAUUGCAUACCCCAAGUACUAAGGGGAUGAGGGGCACUAUAGCUAGACCUUUGAAGAAGAAGAAGAUGAAUCGGUUCCUUCUCGGUUCAAGAACGAGAGCAUGGAGGCGUUAUGCAAGAGGAUAAUAAAACUUGAGAUAGAUAAUUGUGAGUUGAUGAUGGAGAAUUUUUUUCUCCGUCAGAAGCUGGAUGAAGCAAAAGGGAAAAUCUGCACCUUCUCACCACCACCACUACCAUGGAAAUCCAAGGACAAGAUCUCUCCUUCAUCACCAUCAUCUUCUUCACCACCAAAGGAGAACUGAGUAUCGGGUAUGGGCACUCCCCUUGGCUUCCGCCAAGCUUGGGGGAGGUGCCUUGGUAUCGUAUCAUCCCACUACCCUUUUGCUUUUACUUAUUUUAGUUCAAUCUUUUUGCUUUAGAUGAAAUAAAGUUAGUUCGAUCCUUUCUCGUUUGAGAGUUUGCUUAGAGAUCUGUCCUUGUAAUCAUGUGCAAGUUAUAUAAUAAAGUUAGUUUGAGUUUUUGCUUUCUUUACUUUCGUGUUGCAAAUAAAGAAAAGAAAUAAGAAAGAAAAAGAGGAAGGAAAUAAAUAAAAGAAAGGAAAUAAAUCAAUAAGAUCAUAUGCUAAUCCUACGGUAGGUGAUAGCACCACAUAAGGAAAAGUAUAAGUAGGAAAUUCUAUUAGAGAUUGACAAACAUAGCAUUAGUCAAUGAUGCAACUCAUGAAAGAAUUAAUAAGGGAAGAGAAGAUUUACAUAUAAAUAUACUAUCCUAGAAAUCUUUUGUGAUUGUGAACCCUCAUCAAAAUAUUAUAUGCCAAAAUUUUUGACAUUGGACAAGAAAGACAACUUAAUGAUUUAUGUAUGUUUAUAUUCACAUAGAAGUCAUAUUGUCAUAUAUCCUUUAACAUGUGAUGCUUGCCCCCUAUCUUUGCUAGCCAAAAAUUCCGCACUAAGUAGAGAUACUACUUGUGCAUCCAAAAACCUUAAACCCAAAUAUUUUUCAAGUGUCCACCAUAUCUACCUACGGAUUGAGCAAGAUCCCUCAAAUAAGUUGUCAUCGGUGCAAAAAGGCAAUAAAAAUUGCUUCUAGAUAUGUGAGAUCAUUUAGUGUAAGAGAAAAUUGAGCAUUGUACGGACUUGGAUGACAAAGAAUAAAAGCGAUAGACUGCAUAAUAAAGGUUGUCAUCUUAAGGGGCAAUACAACGUGACGUUCUCUUGCACUAAGGGAUUGAGCAUGCAAACAAAUAAGCGCAUGGGAACCUCUGCUUCCCUCUGCGAAGGGCCUAUCUUUUACUUUUAUGUAUUUACUUUUAUGCAAAGAGUCAAAGUUUUCCUUCUAUUCUUUUAUAUUUUCUCUUUUGGCAAGCAUCAUAUGGUGAGGAAAUAUCUAGGUACAUAUGUCCAGUUGAAUAUAGAUAGCAUGAGUUAUUAUUGUUGACAUCACCCUUGAGGUGAGUAUGUUGGGAGGCGAAACUAUAAGCCCCUAUCUUUCUAUGUGUCCGGUUGAAAUGUUUUGCUCAUGGGUACGAGGUGAGUGUUAACAAUCAUAGAAGACUAUAUGAUGGUUGAGUAUGUGGACUUGCCUAAAGGCUCUGACACGCGACCCUCCCUGAAAAGAUGAUGAAUUGUAGUUGCAAAGUUGACUGAGAACAUAGUUUGUUGGUUUCUAAUAGAGUUUUUGCUUUAUACUUUGAUUGUGUGAUGAACUAUUACUUAUUCAUGAGAAGUUUAUGAUAAAACUCCUAUGUUCAAUUUUUUUGCUGUUAUAAUAAUCAACAUGAUGCUUCUAUGUCCAUAUUUUGUUUUUAUUGACACCUCUCUAUCAAAGCAUGUGGACAUGUUUUUCGAUUUCGGUUUUCGCUUGAGGACAAGCGAGGUCUAAGCUUGGGGGGAGUUGAUACGUCCAUUUUGCAUCAUGUUUUCUUAUUGCUGUUUAUAAUGUUUUAUCCAUAAUAAUGCUUUUUGGAGUAAUUCUAAUGCCUUUUCUCUCAUAAUUUGCAAGGAACACACCAAGAGGGAGAAUUCCGGCAGCUGGAAAUCUGGACCUGGAAAAGCUACGUCAGGCCACCUAUUCUGCACAACUCCAAACAAGCUGAAACUUCAUGGAGAAUUUUUAUGGAUUAUUUAAGAAAUACUGGAGCCAAUAAACACCAGAGGGGGCCACCAGGUGGGCACAACCCACCAGGGCGCGCUAGACCCCCCAAACACGCCCUGGUGGGUUGUGGCCUCCUCGGCCCACCUCCGGUGCCCAUCUUCUGGUAUAUAAGUGAUUUUUACCUAGAAAAAA
rnacentral:lncRNA from 1 species